rnacentral:lncRNA from 1 species
UGAAGCUCUGGGAAGAGAAUAGGUGCCCAAGUGCUCAGCACACUUAACAAAUUACAGCUCCCAGAAUUCUUUGGGGGAAGCCAUGAUUGCUUAAAGUGAUAUAGUGCUUUAAAUGUAUGGUGUGAAUGUGCCCUUGGUCUUCAACUGCAAGGAUUUUAUCUGUAGAAUACUGUAAUGUUUACUCAGAAGGAACAAGGUGGAGUCGAGGGAAGCAGAUCUUCUGGCCUGGAAAAAUCUGUAAGUCAUAUUUGUUUUAGUUGGAUUUUUUCCCUCCCCCCCACCCCUUGUUGUUUUUAAUCUAGUCUAACCUUCCCCGUUCAUUGUAUCACAGGGAAUAUUUGCCUAUUGUCGAAGCCCAAUAUUUUCCUGAUGGUUCCUGGCAUUUGACUUGUCAUAUGACUUUGAUGUGGUCUGGCUUUUACAUUUAGGGUGGACGGCUUUUCUUUUGGAUUGACUCUGGUGAUCGCAUUGUGGUUUUGUUCCUGUUGUUUAGAUGCCUUUGCAAUAGGCAUAUUAGAGAUUCAUUGACGUAACUGGUAGCGAAUGUUACCUCUGUUGUGAAAUCUUCAAAGUGCUGGCAAUCCUUGCUCCUUCCAUAGUAUCUCUCUCAUUUUGAAAUAGCUUCAGUGGCGUCAACUCCACUAGAGAUGGCUAAAAAUAAAGAUCUCUUCUAUAGAAGAAGAGGGAGAAUCAUCACCCACCCAUGGACAGGGCAACAAAGCAAGAGCUUUGAUCAGAUGACAGUAUGACAGAUUUAUCGGAAGAUCAUUAAAGUCAACUGCACCUAAGUCCCAUUGAAACCAAUGGGACUUCAAAAUGAAUUUUUCACAUUGAUUUCAAAAAUACCUUAGACUGGAUCUGAUCGUAAUGCUUACUUGGGAAUAAGUCCCACUGAACUUAGUGGCACUUUAAAAAUUACUAUUAUCAGGUUGUAAGAUAUAGCAAAACCAUUGACUGUUAAGACUAGGGGGCUCAGAACAAAAACUGAUGUCUCUCCAAAUGCUUCUGAAAUGAAGAAGAAGAAGAAGAAGAAGAAGAAGAAGAAGAAGAGGAGUUUGGAUUUGAUAUCCCACUUUAUCACUACCCUAAGGAGUCUCAAAUAUCGGCUAACAUUCUCCUUUCCCUUCCUCUCCCACAACAAACACCCUGUGAGGUGAGUGAGGCUAAGAGACUUCAGAGAAGUGUGACUAGCCCAAGGUCACCCAGCAGCUGCAUGUGGAGGAGCAAAGACUCAAACCCGGUUCACCAGAUUACGAGACUACCGCUCUUAACCACUACACCACGCUGGAACCCAGAACAGGUUCACCCAGUCACCUGUGUUCUCUUCCACUGCUGCCAUACUCUUCACUUUUCUGUACUUGGCCCUGGCACCAGUAGUGGUAGAGAGGGCUGGUGAUGGGCCUCCAUAACAUCUUAGAACACGGUUAAAGCUGCUUCCUUGGAACUCUGCCAAUUGUGGUUCCCAGGGUGCCUGUGUCCUUACCAGGGUGAAGAGGCAGGAGCUCCCAAGCCACAUUUACCAGAGUACCUAGUGCUCAGGGGGAUUCUAUAGCAAUGUAAAGACUAAUGGAAGCUGCAUUGCAGAGCUUCUCUGUUGCAUGACCCUCAUGUCUGUUGCCAACAGGCAGAAAUGCCCAAGAAUUUGGUUCAGUCCGCAUUUUUACAUAGACUAACCCGAUUCACAUUUGCUGGGCUGGAACGCAGUUCACACUUCUCUGAAUUCUGCAAUAGAGUUCUCAGUUCAUGAUAUGUACCAAAAUGCAUAUAAAUGUGCGUAUCUUGAGACAAAAUACAUUUUAGGAUAAAAUGCAUACAAAGUUGAUAUUAUAUACAGUGGUACCUCGGGUUAAGUACUUAAUUUGUUCCGGAGGUCCGUACUUAACCUGAAACUGUUCUUAACCUGAAGCACCACUUUAGCUAAUGGGGCCUCCCACUGCUGCUGCGCCGCCGGAGCACAAUUUCUGUUCUCAACCUGAAGCAAAGUUCUUAACCUGAAGCGCUAUUUCUGGGUUAGCGGAGUCUGUAACCUGAAGCGUAUGUAACCUGAAGCGUAUGUAACCCGAGGUACCACUGUAUAUAUAAUGCAUACUAAAAAGAAUGUGAUUUGCAUGUGUGUGUUUUGUUUUAAUUGGAGAAUGGUGUGGCAACAGGACAUAAACCAGCAUUGAUUGGAAACUGAUUUAUCUCUCUCACUAGGUAAGUUUGGGGGUAAAGAAAGGGAUGCCAGAUGGGAAUUUAGACCUUCCCUCCCUCCCUUUCUUUCUUUCUUUCUUUCUCUCUCUCUCUCUCUUUGUUACUGAGAGAUGUGGGGAGCUAAGGAGAGGUUCUCAUGCCUUCUUAUGCUCCUUAUGAUGUAAUGGGGAGUGUGAUGGGAUCAAACUUCAGAACUCUUAUGACGACUGACUGAUACUUUGCUUUUCCUCCUAAAGGAACCGAGGCAGCAAACAAAUAUAUGGAAAAUAAAUAAAUAAAUCUUUACCCGACCCCAUUCCACACUGAGCAAGCCCAUUACAGGAAAGUGUUUCCCUGAUUGCAAGAGCAGUUCAUUUGCCAAUGGAACAAGAAGAUGUCAAGGGUGUUUAUGGAAAUCUCCCUUUGGUGCAAGUUUUCAGAAAAAGGUUGGGCUGUCAUGAAUUGUUCCUCAGCCCAGCCUUGCCCAGCCCAGCCUUGGAAUGCAAAAAUCAUCUGAAGCCCAUUGAGCUUCCCCCUUCCUUUGCCUACAGCCUCCCAACCUCUCCGGUAAACGGAGGCAGAGAGAAGCUGCUGGGAAGCAAGUCAGCAGCGUGUUUGUUUUGAUUUUUUGACACUCCUUGAUGGUGUCUGAACUGGGCCUUGGGGUGUCCCUUUAAUUCGUUUUAUAUAAUUAUUAUUAUUAUUUACAUAUAUAUUUUUUAAAAAUCUACCCACCUUUCUACUGUUCAUUUAUCCGAAUGACUUGCAAAAAUUAAAAAUCAAAACACAAAAACCAUCUACACACACACAUAUGCACACACGCACAACAAUGCAUGAACUUAAUUUUAAAAAAAAAAAAGCAACAAUGGACAGAGAUGACAGAUAAGACUGAGCUUCACAUAUAAUUAUUAGCAGGCAAAAGCCUGGUGGAAUAAAGAUGUUGCUACCAGCCAGCCAGAGAGGCUGCCCUCAGCACUUCAUGAGCCACAUACCUACGGGACCACCUCUCCUGGUAUGCCCCGCGGAGGACCUUAAGGUCCACAAAUGACAACAUUUUGGAGGUCCCAAGUCGCAAGGUGGUUAGAUUGGUCUCAACUAGGGCCAGGGCCUUUUCUGUACUGGCCCCGACUUGGUGGAACGCUCUGUCACAAGAGACUAGGGCCCUGCAGGAAUUGACAUCUUUCCGCAGGGCCUGCAAGACAGAGCUGUUCCGCCUGGCCUUUGGCUUGGACUCAGUCAGACCCUUAUGUUUCCCUCCCCUUAUGGUUUUGAUCUAUGGGCUCCUUUUAAAAUGAGGAUGCAUUUUAAACUGCAUUUUAAAUUGGGGUUUUUUUCCUAUUAUGUUUUUACUGUAGUUUUACUGGUGUUAGCUGCCCUGAGCCCUUCUCUGGCCAGGGAGGGCAGGGUAUAAAUAAAAUUUAUUAUUAUUAUAUUAUUAUUGGGGACUCCUGUGCAAGCCCUGUGCAGCUGAUUGAGCAGGUUUGAGUCCUCCUGCCUAAGGUGCAGCCUGCUUUUUGCAGGUAUUGGCUGCAUGAGUAAGUUUGUCAAGGGAUGCUGUCGCAGACAGCCAAAGCUUGCCUCCCUUGGCCAAUGCACAUUCAGGCGUGCGUUUUAAGGCUACCAGUCAUACAUUGGCAGCCACAUCUCUCCUCAAGUGUAUGACAGGUAGGUGUGGUUUGACUCGCACACCAAAUCUGAACCCUGGCAGGCCAGGUUUGGCCUACAGGCUAAAGGUUUCCCACCCUGGUAUAGGUGACCAAUGCUCUGUAUAAGAGUGCCAGUUACUCACAUUAUGCGCUAGAGAUUUGAGUGGAACAUGGGGCAUCCCUGCAUCAGUCCCUGCUAGAUUGACCUGAGAGGCACGGCUAUUGUUAUGCCAAAACAGUAAGCAUCCCCCUUAACCCUUGAAAUAUAGGAAGCAUCUCUUUUCCACUACUGUUGCACCUUGAAGCAAUGUGCAAAAGUACCUUAGACAACAAAGGAAAUUGAGGGAGUCUGCCCAUUGGUGUACCACCUGCUUUUGCACAGUAGUUCAGUGGCAAAUUCAGAAAUGUCAUGAUGGUCACCUCUUCUAAGAUUAUAGAACUUUCUAAAAUUAUACAGUAAUCUUAUCAUUCUACGAUAAUAAUUAGGGACACAUUGCAAUGUUCAAUGCAGAUCUCCUGGUGUUGUCUUUCAGCUAGAUCUACUAUUUUCUGUGCAGAUCCAUGGGAAAAUGAUUUUGCUCCAAUGUCUUCUUUCGGAGUGCUUUCUAUGAUGUUCCACUGCAUGUAAGAGAACUUGCACAACAUGCUCCUGAAACUGAAGUACCUUGUGUUUCCAUAUGCUUAGUUCUAGAGCAUAUGGUAACUCCUAUUUCAUGGUGAUUGGUAAGCCCUAGGACAAUAGAGACAGAGGCCCUGCAGGGACACUGCUGCAGCCCCACACCACACCACUGGUUUUUCAUGCAGAUAGUCCCAAAUUCAAUCCGCAGCAGCUCUAGGUAGGGAAGGACUCCUACCUGAAACCCGAGAAAGCUGCUGCCAGUCUGUGUAGGCAGUACUGAGCUAGAUAGGCCAAGGGUCUGGCUCAUUAUAUGGCAGCUUUCUAUGUUCCUAAGAAGUUAAACUCUCGAGCUGAGUUGGUAUGGCAAUGCUACUUUUUUUACAGAUGGCUAUAGUGUAGGGAGGCGAGAUAUUUCCCCACAAUGGGUAUCUUCCCCCCAAUAAGUAGUUAAAAGCGAGUGUGCCUGCAUAAAACAAGGUAGGUAAUUAAAAUUAUUAACUAUAGUCAAACCCAUAGAGCUGUGCAGUGCCAACUGCAAACAAAAGUAGGGCUGGACAAGUCUGAACUUGCCACUUUUUAUUAAAUCUUAUUUAAAAUACUGGAAUAAGUGGAGUGUCUGAUGAAAUAUGCAGGGGGUUUAAACAUGCCACAGCUGAAAGAAAACUAUACAUGUCUGUGUUUUGACUGGCCAAAGAUUCCUCUGCUGAAUUGGUAAGCAUUAUUCUAAAAGGGUCGAAUCGGUAGGCUGCGAUCCAAACCCCACUUACCAGGGAACAAGCCCCAAUGAAUUCUAGAGGACCUGCUCCUGAAUACACACGGUUAGGAUCACACUGGAAAACAGAGCAUCUGAGCACAAGUUCUUCAGGCCUUCGGUAUUACUUUAGGUAUCUUACAAACUGUCCUUAAUCUGUCAAAAUUAUCCUGGGCAGAUGAGAAAUGUUAUAAACUCUCAUCUACAUUCAGAGAAUAAUGUCAUUUUAAGUAUGUUGGACAGAUAGUUCAAGAUGUUACUAUUAGUAUAUAAAACCUGUAAAGCCAGUUUCCUUGGGAGAUGUCCAUACCUCAUAUAUGCCACCUCAGCCUGUGGAACUGGCACUGUUAUAGGGGCCACAUAAUACUCAUUCCACACAUGUAAGAAAUUGAUCUUUUAGAGUGGCAGCACCCACACUCCGGAACUCUCUAGCUGUUUUUAAUCAAUCAUUUUAAUUGUUUUAUUUUAUAUUUUUGUAAACUGCUUAGAGAUUUCCUUUUAAAAAUACAACAUAUAUAUUUUUGUAAAGUUAUAAAUGAAACAAGAAAAGGGGGGGUAUGGGAAGGCAGCCUAGGCUUUGGUUUAGGAUUAGCAUUGGGAAAGCAAGAUUCAUGUGCCUUUAACAACUAUCUCCACAAUAAGAACUAUUAUUUAUUAUUAUUAUCUAUUGAAUGUAUACACCACCCUAUACCCGCAGGUCUCAGAGCAGUUCACAGGACUUAGCUGACUUCCCAUGGCAAAAAUGGGGUUGCAGGGGGACGGGGACAGCAGGCCUAUACUCCCUCUAAUUUUGUGUUAUGCCAUGCCCCAUGUUGCGUUAUACCAUGCUCCCCAUGGCAGCCAUUUUGUAACUGGCACCCUUGGUGCUCUCAAAAUCCAAAACUUGAAGGAGUGUCUCCACCCCCAUCAUUCUGCCCAGACACUGAGGUCCAGUGCCGAUGGCCUUCUGGCGGUUCCCUUGCUGCGAGAAGCCAAGUUACACGGAACCAGACAGAGGGCCUUCUCAGCAGUGGCACCCGCCCUGUGGAACGCCCUCCCACAAGAUGUCAAAGAGAAAAAUAACUACCAAACCUUUAGAAGACAUCUGAAGGCAGUCCUGUUUAGGGAAGCUUUUAAUGUUUAAUAGGUUAUUGUAUUUUAGUGUUCUGUUGGAAGCUGCCCUGAGUGGCUGGGGAAACCCAGCCAGAUGGGCGGGGUAUAAAUAAUAAAUUAUUAUUAUUAUUAUUAUUAUUAUUAUUAUUAUUAUUAUUAAAUGUGGCCCCUGAUCCAAAAAAGCUGGCGACCACUGCUAAACUUGUACCCAAAUAUGCAUUUGGAGACCCUUUUCUUAAUUUUACACCAUAUGGCAAUGGUGGUACUGCUACUGUUGCAACCCGCCUUAGAUCAGGCCAUGACCCAGAAGCAGGUCCCAACCCACCAGCUGAAGACCAACGGGUUAGAGUGUGAAAAACCAUUGCUGUAUCAUUCUAAUCCAUCAUUUUCUCAUGAUAGCAUUUCCUUAAGCCUUGGGAAUAUGCUUGCACAUGAACUGGGCUGGCCAUGUCAGUACAUGUCCAUGUACUUCACUUAACCUUUUAUUUUGAUUCACAGAUAUAGCAUGCACACAUAUUUACUUGAAUUGUAUUACACAAUGGACAAUAGCAUUUGCUUUGGAAGGGCCAGAUCCCGCAGCUGACUGCAUGGGCGGUGGCUCUCCUCCACCUGCUCAAAGCCAGCAGACAUUCUUACUGAUGACUAAACAACACGAGACCUCGAGUCUUUGACAUAAGAAUCUCAUUAAUCACACCUGCUUGACACGGGCUAAGAUCCGAAUCCUGCAGUGUGCAUGAAGUGUAUCCCAAGCAGGAAUUGUGCCCUUAUCUUCAGCACCUUAAGAUAUUAUAUGGGCACAUGGAUUUCUUUAUUUCAAAUGUUCUAUUUGAGACGGGUCUGCACUGCACAUUCUCUGAGCUCAAGAAAAUAGGAGAGUCCUUUUGUGCAUUUCAUUCCCUUCAAGUGGUCUAGAAAUGUCAGAUCAUUCAUUGUGGCAGGUGUGCCAACUUGAAAAACAUAUUGGGGAGAGGGGCAUGUAUGCCCACCCUGCAUAGUCAAUCACAUGAUGCGGCACACACCAUUUGAAUGGCAAUGUCCAUCAACCUUUUGGCUCCUAUGCAUUGUGGCAGUUUUGGAAGUAGCCAGACACUGAGCAGACACUGGUGCCUAGUUCCAUAUGAUGGUGCUCAUCUGCCAGCAGGUCUGCUUAGAUAACAUGUGAAGGUUCAUUCUGCAUUAGGGAUGGGGAGCCUGCGGUUCUCCAGAUGUUCCUGGACUACAAUACCCAUCAUCCCCAACCACUGGCCAUGGUGGCUGGGGCUGAGAGGAGUUGGAGUCUAAAGACACCUGGAAAGUCACAGGUUUCCAUCUCUGUUCUACAAGCUCUCUCUACAGGCAGGGCAGAUGGAAGGACCGUAAACCACUAAAGCAACAUUUGUCACCUCUGUGUUUCUGGGAGGGAAGGAGUUAGCUUUCGUCGUACAAAGCUACCCAUUUAAUUUUACUUUCUGAGAUUGUCAUUUCUCUAGUCUGCAAUUCAGUUCUCCACAUUUCAACAUCAGUUUGUAGGGUUUUUUUUUUAAAAAGUCAGCAUGAAAAUCCAUGCACAUUUUCACACGCAUUUCUCCUAACACACACAUUUCUGCAAGCAAUUUUCCCUAAUAUAUGCAAUAUAUAUUAAUUCAGCUCUCCCCACCAUAUGUUUUUCAUACACAUCUGCCUUUAUAAUCAGUUAUUAUUGACACCUUUGAUUACAACUCUAAAAAGGCCAUUCUUUGCUUGUGGAAGAAAUGAAUUUCUUCUGUAAUAUGCAAUAAAUGGUUUCCACUGUAUUGCACAGGUAUCCUGUUUUUGUACGCAUACUUUGGCUGGAAAGGGGCAUCAGGCAGACCCAGGCUUCCAGGGUUCAAAUCCCCCCUCUGCCAUGAAGUUCCCUGGGUGACCUUGGACCUGCCAGGGUUGUGAGUAGAAAAAAAUGGAAGGAAGUGGGGAACCAUGUAUACUACGUUGAACUUGUUGGUGGAAAGGUGGGAAUAUGUAAAUGUAAUAAUCAAUUAAUAAUUACUUGGUUGCUGAAGUGCUAAUUAGGCAGAUUUCCAUUAAAAUGCAUACCAAACAAAUUUGUCUCCCAUCCCUCCUCUGAGCGGUGUGGGCUCCUGGCCAAAACAUCAUGUCAUCACUAGCCAGACUUUCUCUUACUUAAUUUAGGGUUCUCUCUCAGGCUACUGGUCUUCACUUCUCUUUCCCCUCCCAACUGUUCGAGAAUGUUAGCUGGAAAGGGUGACAGGAAAGGGGAAGUCCAGACAAUGCACAGUUUCUUCCCUUGGAUGAGGCAAUCUGCUGCCAAAGGUCUGCAUCCUUCCAGGGAGCAAUGGAUUUGGUGUGUCAAGCUUCUUGAGAUCUUGCCUCUAUCAGGUCAACUUGAGAGCAUUUAUAGCCAUGCUCUGAAUUAGCUCUGGAUGCCCAAGGGGCCAACCACUCAUCAAAUUUGAGACAAGGGAAGGAUUUCAUAAGAAGGUAAGAAGAACCUGUGGGACGCGGGUGGCGCUGUGGGUUAAACCACAAGAGCCUAGGACUCGCCGAUCAGAAGGUCAGCGGUUCGAAUCCCCGCAAUGGGGUGAGCUCACAUUGCUCGGUCCCUGCUCUUGCCAACCUAGCAGUUCAAAAGCUCGUCAAAGUGCAAGUAGAUAAAUAGGUACCACUCCGGCGGAAAGGUAAACGGCAUUUCUGUGCGCUGCUCUGCUUCACCAGAAGCAGCUUAGUCAUGCUGGCCACAUGACCCGGAAGCUGUAUGCCGGCUUCUUCGGCCAAUAAAGCGAGAUGAGCGCCGCAACCCCAAAUGGUCAGGGGUCCCUUUACCUAAGAAGAACCUGCUAGAUCAGGCCAGUGGCUCUAUUAUUCCAGCAGCCUGUUCACAGUGGGAAACCCACAAGCAGGACUCAAGCACAAGAGCACUCUGCCCUCCUGUGGUUUCCAGCAAGAAGAAGAAGAAGAGUUUGGAUUUGAUAUCCCGCUUUAUCACUACCCUAACGAGUCUCAAAGGGGCUAACAUUCUCCUUUCCCUUCCUCCCCCACAACAAACACUCUGUGAGGUGAGUGGGGCUGAGAGACUUCAAAGAAGUGUGACUAGCCCAAGGUCACCCAGCAGCUGCAGGUGGAGGAGCGGAGACACGAACCCCAUUCACCAGAUUACGAGUCCACUGCUUUUAACCACUACAUCACACUGGCUCUCCAUACCAGCAACUGGUAUUUAGAAGCAUUACUUACUGCCUCCAACUAUGAAGCAUUGACAUCAUGUCUAGUCGCCAUUGAUAGCUUUAUCCUCCAUGACUUUAUCCAAUCUUCUUUGAAAGCCAUCCAAGUUGGUGGCCAUCACUCUCUCCAGCGGGAAUGAGCUCCACAGUCUAACUAGGCACUGCAUAAAGAAGGACUUUCUUGGAUACCCCCAAAUUCUAGUGAGGGAGAAAAACUUUUCUCUAGCCACUUUUCCCCAUGUCACACAUAAUUUUAUGAACUUCUAGCAUGUCACCACUUACUUGCCUUUUCUCUAAACUAAAAUGCCCCAAGCACUGCAACCUUGGGCUCAUCCACACUUCCUGCCGCUUUCCCCUGGGGAGAUCCACUGAAUCAGAGCAAUUGUCCAUCUGUUUUUCUCCAGAUUGGUGUUUGUUCCAAUUUAGCGCUAAAGAGCAGGUUUUCCAGGGGAAAAUGGCAGGGCAAAGACUACUUGGACCUGUGCCUAGAAAGCAACAGGACAAAUGGGAAAACAUUUGGACCCUUGUUUUUUAUGCACGGGAUGAGCAGAAGUGUGAACAAACCCCUUUCCUCAUAGGGGAGACACACCAUCCCCUAUAUUAUCACACACACACUCCAGGUUAGACUCACUUCUUCUUCUUUGGCGAUCACUCGUAGCCAAGUAAGAUUGUCUUCCAAGAAAACGGUCUUAACUGUGAGUCCGUAAGUGUCUGUGGAGGCCAAUUCUGGAUCCACAUGUCCUUCCACAGUAGGGACAUACGUUUCCAGGUGGGAGUUGAUCAUGGUGAGAGUUUGCCAAACGUCCCUUCCUCUUAGAUUGUUUCUCCUUUCCACCCUGAGUUUGUGCUUCUUCAAAGUCCAGACUCAAUAGAUUUUUCCUGGGCCAGCAAUACUGAUAGACUGUAAUUUUCCCUCUUCUAUACUCUGUGUUUUGCUCACUGGGUUGCUCACUGAACCAUGUUUGUUUCUUUAUUGUACUGAGAACUUUGCUGCAUGGACUCACUUUCAAGCUUCCAUGCUCAGCCAAAUAACUAGUGGUGCAAAUUAGCAAAAGUAAUUAAAACAAUUUAAAAAACCUGUUAUUUAUUUAUUUAUUAUACCCCACCCUUCCCGGUUCAGAAAACUGGGCUCAGGGCGGCUAACAACAAAUUUAAAACACUUAAUUGUGAUACAACAAAAACAGUAUAAAAUAUAGUAUAAAAGCGUGAAUAACAAUAAAUCCAAAGUUCUAGAAUCAGUUUAGGGGAAACUUCAUCCAGUAAACAUUGGGCCAGCAAGGAGGCCAGGGGAGAAUUAGCUGUGGGAUCCCAGAGCGGGUAAUCUUCAUAAAAAGGGGAGGGGGAAGGAAGGGGAAUAAAAGAUCAGGCUAACUUCAAAUUGAAAGCCAGGCAGAAUAGCUCUGUCUUACAGGCCCUGUGGAAAGGUGGUUAAAUCCUGCAGGGCCCUGGUCUCAUGGGACAGAGCAUUCCAGCAGGUCGGAGCCAUCACUGAGAAGUCCCUGGCUCUGGUGGAGGAUAAUCUGACUUCCUUAGGGCCCGGGACCUCUAAACUAUGAUUAUUCACGGACCUUAAGGUCCUCUGCGGGGCAUACCAGGAGAGGCGGUCCCACAAAUACGAGGGCCCUGUACAGGCAGCAACUAAUCUGCACAGGGGUUGUGUUCCAGACCCAUGCGAGUGUUGAUGGGCCACACUGUUCCACAAGAAGUUCAAUUUUGUCACCCGUGGCUUGAAUUAGGAAAAUGGGUUUUUAAUCAUGCUACAUUUGUUAUCUAGCUUACAAAUGCCACAAUUUUUCUGCUAUCACCCCUCUGGAAAAUUAUAUUUAUGGAUAAAUUUUUUUGCAAGACAGUCUCUUGUUCCAUCAGAGCUAACUUCCAUCAGAACUAACUUCAACUCCACAUAGUAAACACACAGUCACCACUUGGGAGAACAGAGCAGGUUGGGCUCAAUGAUGAGUAUAUGAAGAAAGUAUUUUGGCAACAUUCCUGAUAUGAACUCCUACACUCUGAAACACAGCCCCUAUAUGUCCUUUGCAUUGGUUUCCAAAGGGGAAAAAAAUACAACAGCCUAGGGACAGAUGUGCCAUAACUAUUUAUGGUUUCAAAAGAACAGAACAGGUUUGGUGAGAAUUUAAAACACUGUGAACACCAAGAAAUGUUCUAAGAGGGGAUAGGCAUGUUCUAAAGGUGUUUUAUACAAUCUUCUGGCUCAGAGCCCAGAACUCAGUUGGAACAGCUGUGUUGAGCACCAAGCAACUACUCUUUGAACUUGGAAAAACCUAUGAUUAGAUCUUAGUAGUGGAAAGGUGUAUGAAUGAACAGUAGGAGCCUUCUAUCCAUGACAUCCUUCUACAUUUCUCAAGUCUUUGCUGCUUAUUAUUGGAAGAGCACAGCUUUGUAUUGCAGCGGGGGGGGGGGGGCGAUAUCUUUAACAAGGAACCCAUUCCAUUUGGAUUCUGCUUUUGUAGCAGCUAUAGGUCUCAUAGCUCAGCACGGAGCCUCUCUGAUCAAGGUGGCCUCAGGUAUGGUGUUGGAGACCCCAGGAAGACCACAUAUCAUUGGGCUGACAUACAGAAUUGGAUGCAUGCUCAAAUUUUGUUCCAGAAUGUGGGAGGGAAGGUCUGGAAGUAAGGGAAAUGGUAACUCCAUUGUCAAGAUGAGACCAUGUCCUGGUAAGGUUUAGUCCCAAAGCAUCCGUUCCCUCCUGCAGAAGUGGGAGGCUGGAUCUAUUGAAUUGGCCCACGUGUUGAAAUAUAUGGGAUCUGAGCAAUUUUUGAAUGCUCUGGGAAAAUUUCCAAAAAUCAGAACAGGCACUUUAUAUGGUGCUGCCCCUAAGGACGAUUUGGAAACUACAGCUGGUGCAAAAGAGGGCAGUUAGGUUCCUCCAUGCAGCAUCCUACCACAAAAGUAUAACACCUGUGCUAAAAGAAUUGCAUUGGCUGCCAAUUUAAGGCUUCCUUGUGGACUAAAAAGGUUCCGAACAGCUUGGGCCCAAGCUACCUGAGAUAAUGGCUGCUCUUGUAUAGAAGUGCCUGUUGAUCAAAAUAAUCAAGACACCUUGUUAGAUGUACACAUCCAGCAGAAAUUAAUCUUAAUGGGGCUUGAAAGAGGCCCUUCUCCACAAUGGUACUUGCCUUAUGGAAUUAUCUCUUUCUGAAGGUGUGGCAAGCACUUGCAGUGUUGCUGUUUCAUCACUUAUAAGAAACAAAUCUCUUAGUUCAGGCAUUCCCAAAUAGCUAAUUCUUCAGUUUAAUUAACCUUUCAGUGUCUUUUUAAUAUAUAUUUUAAUUUGCUGCCACUGUGUGGUUAAAUUGUAUGGCUCUUGGUUUUGCAAACCACAUUGUAAGCAUUCUGGUGAACGGCAAUGAUUUUAAUUUUUGGUACAUAUUUUUGCUUGGAGAAAUGCUGGAAAUUUGCAAAAGUACAUAUUUUGAAAGACAGCUGUAUUUUGGAUCACGUAUUUUUUCAGGAAAUGACGUAAGUUGUUCACAUUAAAAUUAAUACAUUUUAAUUUGUCCCUCACUCCUACAGUAACAUUGAAUGGGAACUUGAAUUCACAAUAUAUUGUGAAUAUAUUGUCGGUGAAAUGAUUACACACACAUACUUCUCAAAGUUCUCGUCUGUGAAUUAGCAAAUCUUCUCCAUAUAUUCUCCAGCUUGGGGCAUACUUUAUAUUCCACAUUGACAUCAGCACCCAGUGAUUUUUCAGAACCAAUCAAGUCCUGCCAAUAUCUGAAAAGUCACAAACAACAGUUCACAGCACCAGGCAGGCAGCAUGCAGCACUCCUGACACCACCCUGGGAUCCUGUGGGAUGAAGGAUGUGAUAUACAUUUUUAAAAUAAGUAAAAUCUGGCUGCUGCUGCAGCAGGACAGCAGACUUGAAAUGGCAUUGGGGCAUUUUGCAGUCACCUUUUUCACUUAACUUGUCAAGAAACGUCCCCUACGAUAGGAGGCAGAAACGAAGCCGUCAAAUUUUGCGUUCUGAAAUUCAAACGUCAGAUUUCAAGGGUACAUUUCAAAGUCAAAAAAGGUCAAGUGUCAAGUUUGAAAACUUGUUCAGUCUUUCUGAAAUUUCAUUUGGCGUCUAGAAUGCAUCACAGUCCACUGAAAAGCAUGUUCAGAUGGAUACAGUGGUACCUCGGGUUAAGAACUUAAUUCGUUCUGGAGGUCCAUUCUUAACCUGAAACUCUUCUUAACCUGAAGCACCAUGUUGGCUAAUGGGGCCUCCCACUGCCGCCGCACCACCGGAACACGAUUUCUCUUCUCAUCCUGAAGCAAAGUUCUUAACCUGAGGUACUAUUUCUGGGUUAGCAGAGUCUGUAACCUGAAGUGUCUGUAACCCGAAGCGUCUGUAACCCGAAGUACCACUGUAUAGAAACAAGUGACUCAAUCCCUGAUGGAUCUACAGUUUAUUCUCUUGCCCUGGACAAGUUCUUAAGUUAGCAAAGCACCAUGCUUGCUGCUUCUGUGUGGUAGCUUUCCACAAUCUUUGUUCUCAUGGCUGCUUCUAAAGAUCAGUGCAAUCCAGCAAAAGUUAGUAAGUAAUUGAUUCUCAUUGAAAUAAACAGGGCUUAAGCAGUCAUGACUGGCAGAGCACCGAGCCCCCUCUACCCAGCUCUGCUAGGUUCUGUUGGUCUCCCGCUAUGUGUAGGAUGGUGCCAUUGAACUACCCCUUCUGGCUGCUAUAUGUACAGGCAGAUGGAACUGCUGCUAGUAGAAUUCUCACCAGCAGCAGGCAGCCGAACCCCCUGAAAUGGUCUUUCAAGGGGAAGGGGUUGGGCUGAACCAGAUCCCAAGCAACCCAGCCACCAUCACAUGACCACCUGCCACUCACCUUCCACCCUGGACCUCAAGCACAGCAGAACUGGAGGGUGGAGGGGAGUCAGGACUGCUGCCUUAAUCACCCUUCCAGUUUUCCGUGUGGCCUUUUCCAUGUCUGAUUUUUGCAGAUUGUGCCCCAAACCUCUGCUUGCUACCACUGAAGAUGAUCAAGCCUGAUUCAUGCUUGCAAAGCUUUAAGAUGAACCAAAAAGCACUGUGGAUUGCACCCAUUGGACUAUUGUGGCCUUGGGAAGAUUUUGCAACCUUGUCAGGUGCCAGCAAAAGAAUCUCAGCAAGCUGACAUGCCAAGAUUUACACAGGAGGGUAACCGCAGGUGCUUAUUUUUUUGUCUCCUUGUAGUUCAUCAGCGUCACGCAGCUGUUGGCUCAUUUUGCAAAUGUGUCAACUCUUGGAAUAACAGCAACUUACGUAGGUUGGGUGCAGUGCCAGGAGAUAAAGAGUUUUACAGAGCAAAGUCAUAAAAGCAUUGAGGGCACAAACCUUGUGGUAGUUAAGGAGACUUCCCACUUAUCUAUUUGUUUAGAUUUUAACACACCUGAUCCUGCAAGUUCCAGGUGGGUAACAAUGAAGGUAACAAAAAUACAAACAGCAAAUACAUGAAACAUUAACAAACAUGAAACUCUCGAAGGUAUGUGUGUGUGUGUAGGUUUAUCAUGCUGGCAAGAGCUGUGAUCCUGGUGUUCAUGGCAUGCUUACAACCCAAAUUCUACUGUUGAAGAGACCUUCCAAAUAUCACCAAUAUGCCCUUUUAAUAAUUGACAAUAAUUCAUUUUUAAAGUGGGGGAAUAGAAGUUAAUAGGCCAACACAAGCCCCCAACUUGUGUUAAGGCUAUUUGCAUUAUCCCCAGUCCAAAUAUUCAAACCCACAAAAGGGAGGAAAUGCAAACUAAGCCAUUAGAAGUUAUUUGUGUGACAAUCAAUGUGCAUUACAGGCAUCUUUGCGGUUCGUAUAAAAUCCAUUUUUGAGCAGAACUCGUGGGCUCAUCCAUUAUAGGUCACUGUGCAUUUCAGCAUGAGUUUCUAUCGGUGUUAUAUAGUCUUUCCUAAGAUACAAGGAUACCUGGGAGUAGUUUGCAUAAUGCUUUGUUUCUGCAGAUCCCAUGAUUUUUCCCUCUUCUGGAAAAAAACUUACUUUUUUUCUACAUUUGGGCUAGCCUUGGGCACAUACUCAUAUGUAAGGAAAUGCAUCUGAACCAGUAGACCAUAAAUGCAUCUUGCAGCAAGUUGGGAAAUUAUAUUAGCCCAAUUUAGACAUGAUGGAAAAACAUUUUUUCACAAUAUGUGAAUAAGGCUGUAGGAGGCUUGAGUUUCUCUGUUGUUGUUGUUGUUGUUGUUGCUGUUGUUGUUGUUGUUGUUAUUCUCCUCUUUUGCAUGCCACAGUUCCCUGUGGUGUUCAAAUUCAGGGCACUAUGGCUGAUUUAAACUCUAGUUCAGGGAUGGGAACAUGUGAACUUCCAGAUGCUGAAUUCACACUCCAUCAACCCCAGCCAGCAUGGCCAGCAGUGAGGAAUGAUGAGCACUGUAAUCCACAACAUCUGCAGGGCCAAAGGUUCCCCAGCCCUGCUCUACUUUGUGAACAAACCAGGAUCCCAAACCUGAAUUGAACCUGGUUUUUUGUUUCCUAUUACACCUGAACUCAGACCAUUGAAUACAAAAGUAACCCAAUGGCAUAGUUUAGGGAUCAUGCCAGGGACCAAAUGCGGCCUUCAAGGCCUUUCUGUUUGGCCCUCAAGACUCAGGCUGCACACCUUCCUCAGCCUUAAUCUCCAUGAAUUUGUCUAACCCAAUAAUAAUAAUAAUGUUAUUACUUAUACCCUGCCCAUGUGAGUUGCCCCAGCUGCUCUGGAUAUAGAGCUUCCAAUGUAAUAGAAAAACAAAGCAAAACAUCAUACAUUAAAAACUUCCUGAUGCAGGGCUGUCUUCAGAAAGUUGUGUAAUUGUUUAUCUCUUUGACAUCUGAUGGGAGGGUGUUCCACAGGGCAGGUGCCAGUCAUAGCUGUCAACUUUUCCCUUUUCUUGCAAGGAAUCCUAUUCGGAAUAAGGGAAUUUCCCUUUAAAAAAGGGAAACGUUGACAGCUAUAUGCCAUUACAGAGAAGGUCCUUUGCCUGGUUCCCUGUAACUUCACUUCUUGCAGUAAGGGAACCGCCAGAAGGCCCUCAGAACUGGACCUCAGUGUCCAGGCUGAAUAAUGGGAGUGGGGACAUUCUAGGUCAGUGGCCGUCACUGCCUCCAGUGGGAUUGAGGACAUCGUUUUAACUAUGUGCCAUGUGAAGCAACUUCAUUGGAGGUCCCUAAGUCCCAGCGUUAUGAGAGAUGAAGAAAAACUUUUCUCCACUUUUUCCUAACUUGCAUAAUUUUUUUAACUUCUGUCACUGCAUCUCUUAAUCACCUUUUCUCUAAACUAAGAAGUCCCAUGUGCUGCAACCUUUCCUCAUAGGGUGUCUCUGAAUGUCGCUGAAUCCCAGUUGCUGAGAAUCACAUGUAUGGAAAGGACUCUUGCACUCAGGUCCUGUUUUUGGCCUUCCUAUGGGCAUAUUGUUGGCCACUGUGAGGAGAGGAUGAUGGACUAGGUGUUGGGCUUUGGCCUGAUUCCACAGGGCUCUUAUAUUCUUACUAGCAAAACUACACAUGCUCCACUUUUUCUCAAACACUAAGCUGCAGAUUUUUGCCCAGCUAACAAGCUUAAUUCUAGAACUGGUUGGUGAAAACCCCCAAUAAUAUCAGAAAAUGGGUAUUUCUAAUACAGGAUUGGACUGUUGGCUCAUUCAUCUAGUAAGAAGAAUGGAGAGUCUCAGAAAUAGCCUCACAAGGAUAUCUCUCUCUCUCUCUCUCUCUCUCUCUCUCUCUCUCUUUUUCUCAAUUUGUUUCUGACACAAACUGAAAGCUGAGAUCAUCUAUAUGACAAUUAAAGGAUAUAGACUGAUUCCUGAAUGCUCUUUAAAGAUGAAUUACUUAUGGAUUCCUAAAGGCCCUCAUCCCCUUCUUGCUAUAAUCUCUCAAUAAGUACCGCUGUCUAUGUUGUUCAAUGUUUGACAUAAACGAUUUGGAGGCAGUAUAUAUUUCAUCUUGGUUGAUACAAGAAAUUACAAGUGGACUAAGAGCUAGUGACAGAAGCUGACUUAUCAAAGGUUUCUUAGGUACAUAAACGAAAAAUAAGUCACCAUUCUGCUGCCCCUCCCAAAAACUAAAUUCCUUAUUUUACAAAAGGCCGUAUAAUCCUUUCAUUUUCAAACAAAUGCCACAGCACCGUUGUUAUUCUAACUUAAGCUCACAUAAACCGUACAAUGAGGAGCAUGUUUAAUGUGUUUUUUAAUAGCCUUGUUUGAAGGACUUCUUACUGACAUCACAUUGCUGGGGAGAUCCAGAGGGGAUUACUUGUGUCAACCCAAUCCAGUGGUUGGUAAUUGUAGCACAAAGGAGCGAUCCGAGAGGCUGAGCUAACACAGCCACGGCAGAGCAAAGCCUGUAUUUAUUCCUGCCUUGAUAAAAGCUAAGAGAGAAAUUCAACAAACCUAAACCACUAAAUUAAUUGGCACUAAAAGCAUGUAAUAGUUAUCUAAUCUAUUAAUUUUUAGUUGAAUAUUAACUAGGGUGUCUGCUAUGACAGGUAUUUGACCUGGGCAGAUAGAAUGGACGGGGACCAGCCUUGCAGGCAGCUUUCAAGUGAACAAAAAUAAUUAGUCGGCAGGAAAGGGUGACAGCAUUCUUCAGCAGCUACCUGGCAGUCUAAGAUUUUUAUUUGUAUUGACUUUCUGGGGCCAGACGUCUUAUGCUUGACACAGCCUGUUCCUCAGCAAGCAGAGGGAAUUUCAGAUCGAGCUGGGCCUGCUGCUAUUUGGCCACUGAAAUCCCUUGCAAAUAUUGUAGCACCAUCUUCUCUGUCUCCAUAGAACUAAAUGUGCUAAGGCCUGGUUCACACAUGACACUAAUAGGUUUUAAAACUAUGGUUUAUGACUUACCCAUGUUAUGUGUGAACCCAGCCCAGCAGCCUAAUUGUAGUUUAUUAACUAGGGUUGAAGGUCACUCAUUAACCAAGGUUUGUAACUGGUUUAGAAACCUUAAUUAAUGUUAGCCAUAGCUUAGUGUUACAUGUGAACCUAAACUUCCUCCUUAACUAUGCUUCAAGAGCCAUCACCAUCUCAAAAGCUUGAGCAGCAAAAUAUUCAAACUACUCUCAAGGCUCGGCUGCUCUCGUUAGGGUUUUUUAUUGUUCUGUGUCGUAACAAACCAAUGUUUAAGUGAUCAUCUGCCAGACAUCUCAGCUUUAACUAUGGUUAAUGUUAACAAUGGUUAAGAUUACCCACAGUUUAGUGUUAUGUGUGAACCAGACCUCUAUGUUAUAGAGUAAAGGUAAAGGGUAAAGGGAUCCCUGACCAUUAGGUCCAGUCGUGGCCGACUCUGGGGUUGCGGCGCUCAUCUCGCUUUAUAGGCCGAGGGAGCCGGCGUACAGCUUCCGGGUCACGUGGCCAGCAUGACUAAGCCACUUCUGGCGAACCAGAGCAGUGAACAGAAACACCGUUUACCUUCCAGCUGGAGCGGUACCUAUUUAUCUACUUGCACUUUGACGUGCUUUCGAAAUGCUAGGUUGGCAGGAGCAGGAACCGAGCAACGGGAGCUCACCCCGUCGUGGGGAUUCGAACCGCCGACCUUCUGAUCGGCAAGUCCUAGGCUCUGUGGUUUAUAGAGUAAGGCCAAGACAAAUGUGGACUCCUGCUGUGGCAUAGAGCCUGGAAUUGGUGUACGCUCUGUAUUUUUAAUAUUUUGUUUUCACACAUGGCCUUUCCCAUGUCUGGCUUCAUUGUGUAGUGGAGAGAGAUAUUUUCUAAAGGUCGGAUUCAACUAAUCCAUUGCACUAGCAGAAGUUAGUGCAAGGAGUUCUGCUAGUGCCACGGCUCCCACAUGUCCCCUGUGCCUCCCCUAAAUUUGCUCUGGAGUGCUUGGUAUUGAAGCAAUGUAGCCAAACGGGGCGCGGCUGUGCUUGGUUCUAUAUUAAAGCACUGAGGUUAUCAGGUACAGCUGUUUCAUGGUUAGUCUACCACUGCCACACCCAUGCAGGUGCUGAAGUGCUAUAUGUUUGUCUGCUUUGUAGGUUAGAUACAAUAACAUGCACAGCCUAUGCCCAUUUGCUUAGAACUAUAAGAACUUUCUAGGAUCAGCUGUGUACUAAGCCGAUAGCCAUAUCUUUCCUUAUCUAAAUAGCAUUUGCAGCACCCCACCUAUUGAGUCUAAGCACGUUAUAAGAAGUUAUGAAAAUUAACCAUAGGUUCCUGUACAAAAACAUGAAAUACAUUACAUGCUGUGAAUUCGUGCUUAGCAAUCCAUAUGGCCAAACUGCAGUCAACAAAUUAUUAACAACCACAUCUGUGCAACAAGACAGCAGCAGCAUCAGAUGUCUGGUUUUCAACUGGACCAUUUCACAGAGAUUGUUUCUGCCCCAUGUGAUCCUGAAGAAAAACCCCACCCCCACUAAGCUGGUAUUAGUUUCAGAAUGAAAGCUCCCAUUGGAACCAAUGGAAGCUCCUGUAUUGGCAUCAGGGCAAUGUUCUCCUAAAACAGGGGCCAGCAACCUUUUUCAGCCGUGGGCCAGUUCACUGUCCCUCAGACCAUAUGGUGGGCCGGACUAUAUUUUGGAAAAAAAUAAAUGAACAAAUUCCUAUGCCCCAUAAAUAACCCAGAGAUGCAUUUUAAAUAAAAGGACACAUUCUACGCAUGCAAAAACACGCUGAUUCCUGGACCGUCCGGGGGCCAGAUUGAGAAGGCGAUUGGGCCUCAUCUGGCCCCCCGGCCUUAGGUUGCCUAGCCCUGUUGUAAAACCUUAAAGCAGGGAUAUGGAACCUGCGGCCCUCUAGAUGUUGCUGAACUCCCAGCUCCCAUCACCCAGGCUGGCCAAUGGAUAAGGAUGAUGAGAGCUGUUGUCCAGCAAAAGCCAGAAGAACACAGGUGCCACAAUAUUGGUCUUAAGAAAUCCUUUGUGCAUUAUUUGCUUCAGGCUCCAGUUCUCCCCCUUUCUUCCUGUAUUGAUUUUACCCCAUAAAUGAAUUUUAUGAAGGAGGGUAAAAAAGGAAAAAAGAGGCAUCCGCCAGGUAAAACCUAUUUAACGUGGGCACACAUGUUUAUGAAUCAGAUAAGAUUUGUAUGUCUGGUAGGCGGUGGCACUAAAAGCUUUCUAUGUCACGACAUCAAAGCAGCCAAGAGAUGAAAGGCCAUAUUUGUGCAUCAUAAAUGAGAUUUGCAUAUUGUGAUACUCCAAGAAUCUUUCAUUUGAACAGGUGGAAAAACAGGGAAGCAGGGGCACCCACGUGAAAACAAAGCCUUACUUGCGGUUGAUGAUUAAAUUUUUAUAUAGCUUUGAUAUAACCACUGCAAUUAAGCCUGGGCGAUGAGCAAGGACUUGUUUUGCCCUUUAAAAAGGUACACAUUGUUUACUAAUCCCUCAUUUUAUAUGAUGAAUCUAUCACCAUCUAGGCACAGCUGCGACAAGCCUUUUGAGAGGACGGGUUUCAUCCCAUGUAACAAAUUUCAAACUUUUCAUCUCUUUCUCUCUUUUCAAAAAGAAGCAGCAGCUUCUACUUGACAAUUGAGGCUCAAUGAAUCCGCGUCAUUUCAUAAACGACUAUUUCCACCUUUUGUCAAGAUCUGAGACGAGGUGUAUACAGUGUAAACAUGAACCCAGGAUCUUUUUACCAGUCAAAGUUGGCCUUGAAAGUGACUGUGGAAUGUGCCUUGAUUCAAACUUAUUGAAAUUUUCACUUUGUCUCUCCCCCCCCCCAUCCCAAACUUCAAAUAUUCAUUGCUGCUUGUUCUUCACCCUUGAGAAGGAGGAGGGCAAAAAGACAAAUGACUUUAAUUAAGAAUUAGUUAUGAGUGAAUGAGUCGUCUCUAAUUAUAUCAAAAACCUUUUAAACAGUUUCACUCAGGCUUAUUUGAUUUCUUAAUUACUGAAAUAAGAAAAGUCCCCCAUACAAAUUGUGUUGGCUUUGGAAACAGAAAAAGCUGUCAUGCCGUUGCUUAUUGUGGAUUAACCGAUCAUGGACUGAGAGAAGGCGGCGCCGCUUCCAAAACUGCAUCUUUCUUAAAUGCAUCUAAUGGAGUGGAUCCGUGCCUAUGAAUGCUAUAUGUGACUCAGGCGCCAGGUGACUAUGUUAUUUUCGCUGUAGCAAAUUAGCACAGCUACCGUUCCAAAAUUGGAUACAUGUUGAAUUUUAUAUUUCAGCAAAAAGGCCAAAGCUGCUGAUGGAUGAAAACAAACUCCAAACCGAUAGAUCUAACCACAAAUCAAACAUAAGCUAUAUCCACAUGAGCUGCUUAGUUCUGAAAUCCUGGAGAGCUACUACCAGUGAAUGUAUACCAUGCUGAGCUAUUAGAGAAGGGCUGUAGUUCUUCUGUAGUGGCAGAACAUUUGCUUUGCACACAGAAGGAACCAGGUUCAAUCUAUGGCAUCUCCAGGUAGAGUUGGGAAAGGCAGCUGACUGAGAGAGCUGCUGCCAGUUAGGGUAGACAAUAUUUAGCCAGGUGGACCAAGGGCAUAAGGCAGCUUCCGACUCAGCAUUCCUUUCCUACUUACACAGAAAUUAGAUGUCAUUACCAACGCGGGUGGCGCUGUGGUCUAAACCACAGAGCCUAGGACUUGCCGAUCAGAAGGUCGGCGGUUCGAAUCCCCGCGAUGGGGUGAGCUCACGUUGCUCGGUCCCAGCUCCUGCCAACCUAGCAGUUCAAAAGCAUGUCAAAGUACAAGUAGAUAGAUAGGUACCGCUCCGGUGGGAAGGUAAACGGUGUUUCCGUGCACUGCUCUGGUUUUGCCAGAAGCGGCUUAGUCAUGCUGGCCACAUGAUCCGGAAGCUGUACACCGGCUCCCUCGGCCAGUAAAGCGAGAUGAGCGCCGCAACCCCAGAGUCGGCCACGACUGGACCUAACGGUCAGGGGUCCCUUUACCUUUACCAACCCAUUGCAUAUAAGUAUUUCCUCAUAUUUCUUCCAUGUUUUCUCAAACCACCAAAAAGCCAGAUUUUAUUUUCGAAAGCAUGAAACUGCAGCACAAUCACCUACAGUGCAGAUCGCUCUUAGUGCUUACGCUUCUGAGUUUUUUGCGGUUCCUUUCCUCCCUGCCUAAUUAAUUACAAGCGACUCCUCACUUACGUGGGGGUUACGUUCCAGGCCCCUACCCCACUCAAAAGUGAAAUACGCACAAGUGGGGAGCCCUCUGAAGUACUGGUACGUACAGCUCCCUGCUCAACAGCUGUUGAGCAGGGUAGCACGGCAGCAGCAAGAGCUCCCAUGCGCCAUUUUGGAGUCCUUGGAGUCUUUUUUUUUCUGGACUUUUGGCUCACUGACGCCCUCUUCGGGCUCUCAGGAGUGUCUCCUCGCGAGCCAUGAGGACUUUCGAACUCUCUCCUGCCAAUUCAUGUUAGAAUUGAAUUCUUUAUUUAUUUCCCAGUGGCGUAUUUGCAUAAAAUUGGCAAAUGCUAACGUAUAGGUGCAAAUUUAGACAUAAUUACUAUAAUUUAGAUAGCAUGCAUUUUGCCAAACAUUGGCCCAAUGACCUGUGUGUCUGCACAGUCUGUUGCCCGGAUGCCAACUGUUGAUGGGCAACUUCAAGACCCCUGUUCUUUAAUUUUUAAAACUGGGGUCUUCAAAAAAUAGCUGGACAAAUAACAAUAUCACCUAACUGUGGUGUGACUCAGUAACAAGCCACUUCCUACCUGCCUAUACACUAAUCCUGGGACAGGGAUAUCUGGAUAGAUCGGCUCUGCAGGGUCAAUGGCACUAUGGAGAUCUACUGAAGGGUCCUGCUCCCUUUGCUCCUCCUCUGAGGAGACCUCAGGUCAGGUUCAAGGUCUGGGCAAGUACGAACCCUGACAAUUCUACUGGAGGGCACAGAGGGAGAGAGAGGGGGUAUUUGUGCAGUUACCAUCUUUGGAGGUAGCUGCACAUUUCUACAUAGCAUCUACUUUGGCCAAAGUCCCAUUCAUUUCAUUGUCAUGCUUUCCAUGACCCAUAAGCCUGGACCCUGUUUGUGUCUGUAUAUAUAGAUUUCCUGAAUUCCUAAAAAAAAAUUGUAGAGUUUUCUGCUGUGUUACUAGUUUUCAUGUUUUACUGAUAUUGUUUUUCUGUUUUUAUGUCUUACACUGCUUAGAGAUUGAGCUGUUUGUGAAUGUUUUAAAUAAAUAAAUCAUUUAAAUGGGGUUUGGACACGGCAGAUGCACAUACAGUGGUACCUCGGGUUAAGUACUUAAUUCGUUCCAGAGGUCCGUUCUUAACCUGAAACUGUUCUUAACCUGAAGCACCACUUUAGCUAAUGGGGUCUCCUGCUGCUGCCGCGCCGCAGGAGCACGAUUUCUGUUCUCAUCCUGAAGCAAAGUUCUUAACCCGAGGUACUAUUUCUGGGUUAGAGGAGUCUGUAACCUGAAGCGUAUGUAACCCGAGGUACCACUGUACGUAUCAUACAGGCAUUCACUAUCUCAUGCAAGUCACAGAAUGAAAAAGCUAGCCAAGCAUUAGAGGCCAUUCCCCAUCCAGCCUCCUUGGGAGCCGUGCUGCUUUAUUUCAAGGUGUUCCCAAAGCAACUGAGAUUUUCUUGAUGCCCGACAGCCAUCUUUCCAUCUCUGCACAAGUGUGCCUCUCUUUUCCGGCAUCCCCUUGCCCACAGUUCAGUGACUUCAUUCUCUUUUCCCGUUACCUCCAGUGGGGUCUAUAACGGCAGCGCGUCUUGUGGAUGUGAGGCCUUUCCACGGUUCCCUUGGGAGUCUACCAAUUACAUUCUUUCAGCUAGACAGAGAAGGUCAAUCGAAGGAAAGGCUUAAAACAUUCCCCCCUGCCCCCUCCCUGCCACCCUUCCCUGUUUCUCUGCAAGCUGCCGGCAGAGUCACUGCCUCGGAUUCCAGCUCUUAUCAGGCCGGAGCGUGUGAGAUUUCAUCACAUUUACUUCCAUCUCUCUCGUAUUAUAGCUGCGUGGACGGAUAGCGAUCCCGGAAGAAUAUAGAGGAGAGGGGAGCCAGAGAGCAAGAUUAGCAUCAGGAAUAAGUGGUUUUUUUGGCAUGGCUCUAGAAUGCCAUUUGGGAGAUAGAAUGCCCUUGCAAGUAUUCUCAUCCAUACAGCAGCAGGACCCAAGCCUUGCCUCUUGCGGACAUAAGAAAGAGCUUAUAGACAGAGGUGAAGUGUUGUCCACUAGUCUCAGACAGCACUGCAUGCAUGUGGUACAUUGCAGUGCCAUCACAUGGGACAGAUUGUAGCAUCAUUACCACAUCACUGUGAUAGCACACAGGUACAUUAACCACCCAUUAUUUAUUUUUAUUAUUAUGCAUUAAGUUUCUAUACCACCCUACAUCAGAAGAUCACAGGGCAGUCUGCAAUAUACAGUGGUACCUCGGGUUACAUACGCUUCAGGUUACAGAAUCCACUAACCCAGAAAUAGUGCUUCAGGUUAAGAACUUUGCUUCAGGAUGAGAACAGAAAUCGUGCUGCGGCGGCGUGGCAGCAGCAGGAGGCCGCAUUAGCUAAAGUGGUGCUUCAGGUUAAGAACAGUUUCAGGUUAAGAACAUACCUCCAGAACGAAUUAAGUACUUAACCCGAGGUACCACUGUGUGUGUGUGUGUGUGUAUACACACACACCAUAAUAACAAAAUAAAACAAAGAACCUCACCACACACAGUUUAAAAGGCCAUAUGUUUCAAAGGCGUCAGGCGAGCCUCCCUGGGGAGAGCAUUCCACAAAUGGGGAGCCACCGCAGAAAAGGCCCGCUCUUGUGUUGCCACCCUCGGACAUCUCAUGGAGGAGGCACACAAAGAAGGGACUCGGAUGAUGAUUGCAGUGUCUGGGUCAAUUCAUAUGGGAAGAGGCAGUACUUGAGGUAUUGUGGUCCUGAGCUGUUUAGGGCUUUAUAGGUUAAAACCAGCACUUUGAAUUGCGACCUGAAACUAAUUGGCAGCCAGUAGAGUCGGACCAGGAUUGGCAUUAUAUGCUCAAACAGUCUUGCCCCAAUGAACAACCUAGUAGCUGAAUUCUGCACCAGUUGAAGCUUCAGAACCAUCUUCAGAGGCAGCCCUACGUGUAAUGUUAUGCAGUAAUCUCUCCUAGAGGUUACCAGAGUACAGACAACAGAAGCUAGGCUUUCCCUGUCCAGAUAGGGGCGUAGCUGGGCUACCAUCUGGAAAUCACUCUGUGCUACCAAGGCCACCUGACUCUCAAGUGAGAGCAAAGGAUCCAUGAGCACCCAAAGCUACACAUCCGCUCCUUCAGAGAAAGUGUAACCACAUCAAGAGCAGGCAACCUCUCAUCCAUCUGGUCUAGGGAACCGCCCACUAACGGUGCCUCAGUCUUAUCUGAAUGGAGCUCCAGUUGGUUGGCUCUCAUCCAGUCCAUUACCAAGGCAAGACAAUGGUCCAGCACAUCCACUGCCUCACCUGCAGAUGUAAAGGAGAAGUAGAGUUGUGUGUCAUCAGCAUAUUGCUGACAAUGUACUCCAAAACUUUGGAUAACCCCAUAAAGAUGUUAAACAGCAUGGGGGGGUAAAACUGAACUCUGAGGAACCACACACUGAAGGCUCUACUGGGCUGAAGAUCACUUCCCAAGCAUCAUGCUCUGGAAACAAUCAUCUAUGUAGGACCAGAACCACAACAAAGCAUUGUCACCCCCCCCAACCAGGACAGCCGCUCCAGAAGGAUACCAUGGUCAAUGGUAUCAAACUCCAAUGGGACAUCAAGGAGAAUUAACAAAGACACAUUUCCCUUGUCUCUCUCCCAACAGAGCGAGAAAGCAGUUUUUGUGCCCAAACUGGGCCUAAAACCUGAUUGAAAUUGAUCUAAAAAAUCAGUUUACUACAAGAAGAUCUGGAUUUGGUCUGCCACCACCCGCUCAAGAAUCUUGCCCAAGAAGGGGAGAUUGGCAACUGGCCGACUGGCAUGCAAUGGAACUAUUUUCUUGGCCCAAUGAUUUUUGUAAAUUGGGGCGGGGAGAUUGGGUGAAAAUGCCCUAUGAAAGUUGGAUUCAGUUAUGGGUGGCUAAUGGGGGCAAUCUCCAAGAAUGUCCCUGGAAAUGAUGUUACAUCGUGUCAGUCCUGUAAGCCAGAGGGGAGCACAAUUUUCAGCCCAGGGGCCACGUGUCAGGCAGGGAGAGUGGGGCAAAAGUGAGCUACUGUCCAAAGCUAACAAUAACAUUCAUUUCUCUGCCCACUUUUGCCUCUCACCCUGAGAGAGGCAAUACAGACCAUGGGCUCAGAAAGGUUCCCCACUCCUGCCCUUGAUGGCCUAUAACCUAUGGCUUGUAUCUCAAGGGCUGCUUGUUCUUAUAUGAACCUGCCAAUACACGGAGUUCACCUGCAUAGACCUUUCUCCAGGCCCCCCACACCUGCACAGGUGGGAGGAAAUUGGAUGUCCCUGGAUGCCACGCCGUUUGUAGAAUCUCUUGCCUAGGUCCACGCACCUGGCACCAACAAUUAUGAGCAUUAGACAUUAGGUUGUAUUUUUCCAGGCACUCAGGUUCAGACUGUUCUUGUUUUAUUGCUUUCUGCUUUCAGAGCUGUGAAUUGUUAGAAUUUCUCAGCUGCUGUGCUGGGAAUCUUUUUUUAGUGCUCUGAAAAAAAGUUUUACCCUGUUGCUAUUUUUGUUGGGUCAUUGUUGGUAAUUAUUUCUUUUAUGAUCAUUGGUUUUUAUGAUGCUGAGCUGCCUUUUAAAUGUUUUGAUGAGGUGGUGUGUAUAUUAAAUAAGGUAGGGUAGGGCAGCAAGUAAGAGCUGCAAUAUCUGUGGUAUAUAUUUAAAGCAGUAUCAUACCAUUUGAAACAGCCAUGGCUUCCCCAAAAGAAUCCUGGGAACUGUCAUCUGUUAAGGGUGCUGAGACCCCUUUUCCCCUCCCAGAGCUACAAUCUCAGAAUGGUUUAACAGUCAAUCCAUCUCUGCAGGAAACUCUGAAACUUGUAACUCUGUGAAGGGAAUAGGGGUCUCCUAACCAGGUGUGCCAGGGACGCGGGGGCACUGUGGGUUAAACCACAGAGCCUAGGUUUGAAUCCCUGUGAUGGAGUGAGCUCCCGUUGCUCGGUCCCAGCUCCUGCCAACCUAGCAGUUCAAAAACACAUCAAAGUGCAAGUAGAUAAAUAGGUACCGCUCCAGCGGGAAGGUAAACAGCGUUUCCGUGCACUGCUCUGGUUUUGCCAGAAGCGGCUUAGUCACAUAACUAAGCCACAUGACCCGGAAGCUGUAUGCUGGCUCCCUUGGCCAAUAAAGCAAGAUAAGCGCCGCAACCCCAGAGUCGGCCACGACUGGACCUAAUGGUCAGGGGUCCCUUUACCUUUACCUUUAACCAGGUGUGCCGGGUUCUGACCCACAUUGUGAGUGCCCGGCGUGGGCCUGUGGCAUCACAUGGUAGGAGGAGGUUCAACAAGGCCCAUCACAGACACAGGAGGAGGCCCAACAGGGCACGUCACAGCCUCAGCCCCAACAGAGGCCCUGCAGUGGACCACCAUGGCAUCGGAGAGUGGUAAGGCAGCUGGCGGCAGCAGGUGAAGGCCGGGCACCCACAGUCAAAAUUUUGUUGGUGCCCAGGCACCUAGGGCCCUGCAGAGAUGGCGCCUGUGCUCCUAAGAACUCUCAGCACCCUUAACAAGCUACGUUCUCCAGGAUUCUCGUUUACAUUUCGGCAAACUUUGGGCCUGCUGAUUCCUCCCCGCCCCCCAUUUGUGUGUGUGCGGUGUCAUUUUGGCUACCUAACGAUUGGCAUAUAAAGUAUUGAUACAGGAGAAAAUGGUAAUGAUAGAGAACACCAGGGGUAACAGGAGCACCCAACUUCACUAAAUUAUGUAGCAUGGAAUACUUAAAACAUUUUCAGGGAAAUGGAACAAUAACAACAGAACAGAUCUAAAAUUCCUCACUGUUUUUCUUUUUUCUUUUUUGGCCUGUGUUCAGCUUCCCUCCUGAAACGUUCCUCCAUUCAUUGAAGCACAGUGAUAUUAUCACCUAACUAUGUCCUGAUAUAAUAGGAUACAAAUAGGGACACAUCUGAAUUUGUGCACACUUACUUUGGAGUAAGCCUCAAGAACUCAGUGCAAAUUAUGUCUGCAUAAACAAGCACAUGAGUGUGCUGUACAUGAGAUAAGCAUCAUCAGGCCAGUAUUGGCUACAGAGAACCACCACUUGAUCUUAUUUACAGAAGUCAGUGCUGCUGUGGAGUCAGCCAGUAGCAACAGAGGGCAGCUCUGAAGGACCAGUGACUCCAAAGCUGAAUGCCAAACAUUUUCAAAACAAACAAUUCCCCCCCCCCCCCGAGACAGAACAGCAAGAAAUCAGCUGUUUCAUCCAGGCCAAGUUUCAACCAGAAACUGAAUACUGCAAAAAAAUACACAGUCCUCACCCUCAUACUCGCUAUGCAUCCAAGUUCAUUUCUAAACCAUUGACUGGGUUAUACUAGACUUCCCUGUGUUAGAGUUGGACACUGUAUUUGGACAGGAGUAUGCAGAGGUACAGAGAAAUGGUUCUCGCAUAUUUCUUCCACACCUUUGAAAUCUAAAUGAUACACCCCAAACCGCUCUAAGGCUCUUAAGAAUUAUAUCAGCAAUGCCCAGUCUUCCCAGAAAACUGUAUCAGUUCCUCAAAGAGCACAAGGAGAAGAAAACAGGAUGGUUGCUCUUAUUUAAAACUAGCUCAGAAUUCCUGGACCAGCCACAGCAAACUUGCCAAUUCUAUCUUUGGAGUGGGGUUGCAAACCUCUGGCUUAGGGGCCAAAUGCAAUCUUCCAGGCUCCUCUAGCAUUGGUCCUUUGAGACUCUGCCCAUGCUUUGCCUCUUCCCUAGGCCUCACCUCUCUUCAGACCUGCUCCACACCUCCUCAAGUGCUUUUGCGUGUUCCUGGACUGUGCUAAUGCCUCUUUGCUUUCUUGGAUGGAGAGCAUUGUAAUGUGCCAUGAUGCAAUGUAUGUAAACCACCACUGGGGGGUUCUGUAAUUGUCAGCCCUAGUUUCUCCCCAUAGUUUUCCCAUAAAGGCUUGCUGUCUGGAUACACAAAGCUAAGAAUUGCAUCUAUUGAUCAGACCACUUGUUCCACUGGACCUGAUGGUUGGCCUCAGGACAGAAAAAGCUAUCCACUUCAAGAUUUGGAGCACCUGGUGGGUUCUUUUAAAAUUAGAUUUAAUUGAAGGUCUGUUUAGAAGCCUUUCAUUAAUUCGGGGCACAAAUAUAAGGUAUAUUCAUUCUAACUUUCCUCCUCCUGUAACUUUCCUCCCACCCUGCCUUGCUACCAAACUCUCACAACUGUAACUCUUCUGUAAAUUUGUCAGUAAACUCUGUUAUUGUGGCAUUUCUCUCCCCCUUUUCACUUAAAGAAGAACUGAGAUUUCAGUAAAAAUCUUGAUGUCCUGGCUCACCAUAGUUGUUAGAAAUUUCAGGAAAUCUUUGAAGAUGUUGUGACCUUGCCAUUAUAAGUACUGUUCAAAAGUGGCCAUUUGGUCAUGGCUACAGCAUCUCUUCAUCUACAUAAUGCAGGCCAGGAACAGGAGAUCCGCAUGCUGUCAUAGUAAAAAAACAACUGCAUCAUUUAGUACUGCUUUGGAGAAAUCUAGGACCAGCUAAAUGCAAACAAAGGAGGCAGCCAAACAGCAGAGGGAGGGACGAAAAAUAUCAAGGCACUGAAGCACCUUUCCUUUGAGGAAAGGCUAAAAGUUGACAUUCAGAAAGGAAGGUGAUUAAAAGUGAAGAUGUUCAGGGUUUCUCGAAUUACACAUGGUGUGGAUAAAGUGGAUAUAAAGAUAGCAUAUAUCUCCCUUUUUCAUAAAACUAUAACUUCAGAUAUUCCCAUGAAAUUAAUUGGUAGUAGUUCAGUGGAAAGCAAAGAAAAUAACUUCUUCACACAAAGCUAAUGACAUGGAGAUGCCCACCAGCUUAGACAUUUUUAAAGGGAACUGGAUGAAUUCAUGGAGGACGGUGGGUCUAUCAGCAGCUAUGAUCCACGACGAUUAAAUGAAACAAUAUACCUGACCGUCACUUGCUCGGUGGGGCGUUCAGCAAAGGAGGCAAUUGACUUCAUGCCUUGCUUGUAGCUUCUCAGAGGGAUCUGACUACAGGGUUGGGAAAUCUGUGGCCUUCCAGAUGUCUCCAACUCCCAUCAGCCCCAGCCAGCAUGGCCAAUCAGAGGCAGUUUUAGGGUAGUACAACUGGUGUGUUGCACUGUGCACUGUGCUACAGGGGGAGCCACAACAAUGCUGUAGAAUGGAGUGCAAGAGGCAGAGGCACCAAAUUUUCAUGUUGCACAUGGCACCGCUGAAAUCUGAGAGCCCAAAGUCCACUACCUGGGUCACAGGUGAAGUGUUUACAGUCCAGCAACAUCUAGAAGACCACAAGCUUCCCAGCCCUGAACUAAAUGGACCUUUAGUCUAAUCCAGGGUUCCCCAAACUUGAGUCUCUAGCUGUUUUUGGACUGCAAUUCCCAUCAUCCCUGACCACCGGUCCUGCUAGCUAUGGAUGAUGGGAGUUGUAGUCGAAAACCAGCUGGAGACCCAAGUUUGGGAAACCAUGCCUAAAUGUUCAGGGCUGUUCUAAUGUUCUUACAUAGUAGCAGUAGCAUUUAGUGCUGCUGGUUAGCAAUGCAGUGAAAAGCACACAGAAACACACCUUUAAGAAGAAAUUCCACAGAGCAAAGGGCAUCGCUCAACCCCUGUGUACCUUUGAAGGUACCCGUGUACCUUUGUACACACCUUAACCUCUGUUGGACUUCCCUUUGAGAUAAGAGUACUUUAUUUAAAGUGUUGGGGGGGUUCCCCCUCUGCCAGCAAGUGUCGGUAUUUGCAGGCAUCUUAUCUACACAUUGCCGUUUCCUUGAUCUUGUCAACCAAUAAAUGGAAACAUACUUUACAGUCACGCAAUAGGUGCACUUACCUAUUAGUAUGUUCCAUUUAUCCCAGUGGGACUUACUUCUGAGUAGACAUGCCGAGGAUUGCAGUGUUGUUCUCUCACCACAUACACAUGCCUAGAGACAUGUGAUUUGUAGCUUUUGAAAGUUGAGACUGGGAGAAAAAUGUAGCCAUAUUAUUAUGCAACAAUACAUUGUGCUGCCAAACAAUGGUGUCAUAAAAACAUACGGCACGCACACCUGUGAAUGCUGGCAUAAAGUUUAAAUCAAUAACACCAAAAAAGAAGUUGGCAAAUAGCCAAUUAUUUGUCAUGCAAAAGUUUGGCUUAACAUUUGAAUAAGGUGUGCUUUUAUUUUUUAUUUUUGAAGUGUGAAUUGAACAAUUUGGUACUUGUGAGAUAGCCCUGCUCUUUAAAAAACAAAACAAGGUAUUUAUUCAAAAUUAAUAUACAAUUAUAUUAAUUAGGCUUACAUAAUCCCUGUGGAUAUUACUGUUUUCUUAUUAGCAUCUGAAUGGAAACAGAGUACAGCUGAUGCCAAGUGGUGUGUAGAUGUCUAAAGUUUGAUGUACAGUUUCUGUAAUAUGCAUAUAGAAUCACUCAAAACCAAAAAUGAGAACCAGUUACCCAUUGCCUCUUGUUCACUCUAAUUGGGAUAUUGGAUUGCUUAGAAUACUGCUCUGAAUUUUGCAUGGCAGUUCCCCAGCCAUGUCAUGUGUUCAAAAAUGCACAUACUAGAGUAAAGAGUGCAUAAAAAGCAUGUGUUAGUAGUAAAAGUAACAUACAAAGAUGCAUUAUAUUAGAGGGGGGAAUUUGAAAAAUUCUGUGUAUUUGGCAAAAACCACCCAGAUUCAGAAAGGGGACAAUAAAAUCAGAAACAAAUCUAAGUAAGAAGACCAAAUAAAUAACCAAUUGCAGCCAGGCCAAAAGUAAGUUGGAAUGAAGAAUCAGAAUUGUGACCAGAUAUGGAUGGAGCUGACUGUUUUCUUCUUCCUAACUGGGCUGUUCCUUUCAUUUUGAAGGGCUUAGAGAUGUAACCCACCCCACAUCUUGGUAGAUCUGUGCAAAAGCAAAUCUGCCCUCCUUUGUAUCCUGCUAAGGUGUGGCAACACAAUCAGAAAAAAAGGGGAUCUGAGGUUCAAAGGUCACAUCUGUAAGACCUAACGCAAAAAAAAUAAAAAUAAAAAAUUAGCAAAUAAGAUGGUAGAACUGUUUUGGGAUUGUGUCAUUUCAAAUUGCAGGGUGGGGUGGGGGAGUUAUUGCAUAAUCGUAUUUUUUUAUUGGAAAAAGAAUCAAUUUUCUUUCAGGGUCACAUAACAAGGAGCAGAAAUCAACCAGCUAAACUUCUCCCAUCAUUAAAUUUUGGGGAAAGCACACAUUGUGUCUGCGUGCAGUAUCAGAACCUUUGUCCGAAACAAAAGUGCCUUAGAGACAGCACAGUAAAUUUGGUAUCUGGUUUUCAUUUAAUGUCCAGAAUCCAAGCCUGAGGCCCCAACCACAACAACCAGUGCAGCUGCUGGGCCACUGGUGAGACAACCAUGGCUAUGGCAAGGGCCAUGCCAUGGUGAGGGAGGCAUUCCUCCUGGCUCUGCCCCAACAUUAAGGCAAGGAGGAAGCAAGGCAGGAAGUGGGAGGAUUCAAGGUCUUUCUUGCAAUUAUAUUUAAAGGCAGGGAGACUCCACUGUGGCUCCUGGUGUGCUUCAGAAGUUGGACCACAGUCCACAGGGACACUAGGACGUGGACAAGCAACAGAACUUUCUGGUACUUAUCUCAACAAAUAACCCUUAUUUGUGCCCAGAAGUCAACCUCCAUAUGCUUCAGGAAAAUCUGUCUAAAGGAGGAAAGACAGAAAGCUGACUUCUCAGUCAAGAGCCACUUCAAGGAACUGGUAUGCAUAUUAACAAGCCUCGCUGACAAAACCUGCAGUGCUGUACAAACGCUCCAGCCAAUUUUCAGAUGUUAAUUGCUUUGCCACUUUACUCUUAAAAUAGCAAAAAGCCUCACCCACAUUAUGGACUGAAGCUGAACCUUUAGUGAGCAAUUUUUUAAAAAAGAAAAUAAAGAAGAAGUGUGAUAGUACGCCUGAUUUAAACAUACACCAUACACUGUAAUUUAAACAGAACCAGAUUUUAUCAUCUGAGGCAAAGUUCACCUGAUCCCUCAGAGACCUGAGGAACACCUAUUUACUUGGGUGAUCGAAGCAAGAUUUAUUUAUUUUAUAUAACAAAAUGUGUACACCAUAUACAUUGUAAUAUUAUUGUAAUAAAACCUCUAAGCAGAUUACAAGAAAUCUAAGUGGUUUACAAGAUGGAGGAAAUGGAUUGACUCACUGGUCCUAAAACACCUCUGGCCUGGAUAAAUAAUAGUAUAUUAAAUUGUUAUAAUUAGCAAUAGUUGCAUAAUAUGCAUAUUGGGCUGUCCAAAUUUCAGAGACUGCAAAUUGGUAACCCCACUUGAAGUACUCAAAAUGUAUCAAGAAAACUGUAAGCGUUGACUACAAAUGGUAGUUCCUGAGUUAGUUUUCCAAUUUGUUGGAGACCGCAAAUGCUCAAAAUUAUGCAGAGCUCAAACUAUUCAUGCAUGUGGACCUAACAGAGAUACAGUGAGCAGCUACAUGACAUAAGGUACUUUUGGUGGUGGCACCCACUUUGUCAAAUUCUUUGCCCCAGAAUAUCUGGUCACCAUAUAUAUAUAUAUAUAUAUAUAUAUAUAUAUAUAUAUAUAUACCAUAAGCACAGUACAAUACUUAAAGGUCACAAACGAUGACCUUCGAACAACAAUCACCGAAUGAGAAACAAAAUGGAAUUGCACAAAACUGGAAGUAGGGAUUGGGAAGUAUUUGCAUCCAGGAACAACUAGUGAUUCAGCAAGAGGCAGUUGUAAACUUGUAUCUCCUACCUUACAACUAGAAAUGCAACAGGAACUCCUGAAUGUUUAAUAGCUAUGCAGCGGUCUGAACUCCAGGAGGAAUGACUGCUUUGACAAUGUGGUGUUGAUGGGAAAGGAACUUGCAGCAAAUGAACUUCACCUUGACAAGAUGCUGUUAAAGGUCCUGGAGACCUCCCUAGACCAGGAGAUCACAACACUGCAUCUCAACUCCUAUUCCUGAUAGGGUCAAUUCGAUGCAGCAAAUUCAGAGUGCUCCCAAAAGUUCUACAUUCACCCUGGAAAAGGAUGCUGCGUGGAGCUGUGUAACCGGGUGAUUGCUUGUGUCAUGUCUGAAUGGGUUGUCACAGAUAGGAAAGUGCUGUCAGUGGUGUUGUCUCUCCUUUAGCAUUUCAGAUUCAGUGCCUUUCUUUCAAUGGAGAUAGGUCACACAUGUAGUCACCACUUAUCAUACACCCGUGCUGAGAAAGUAUGAGCACGAGUGAACUUGGGGAAGGGUCAUAGCGCAGAGUUAGAGCAUCUGUUUUGUGUGCAGAAGGUCCCAGGUACAAUCCACAAGCAUCUGCAGGUAGGACUUGGAAUGCCCCCUGUCUGAAACCCUGGAGAGCUACUACCAGUCAGCAUAGAUGACACUCAGCCAGAUGGACCAAUGGGUUGACUUCGUAUAAGGCAGUUCCUUGUGUUCCUGUGUUAAUUGAACCUAGGUCAGAAUGAAGCACAGGUACCAUAAAUGACUUGGCAGAAUUCAGCUCUUUUCACCUCUGGCAUACUUUAUUGGUGCAAGUGUUUAUGCUUGGAAUGUAAUAUAAUAACAAUUCCUCCCUUGCAGAUAAGGAUCUUAAUUGAUUUUGGAAGAACAUGAUAUGCAGUAGUAUGGUAAUCAUUACAGCAGAACUGCUUUAUCCAUUUUAAAGCUGCAUCACAAAGAGGGGCUGGCACUUCAGUCCUAUGUUAUUAAAAGUGGAUUAGACAAAUUCAUGGAGCAACUAUUCAGAAUACUGAUACAGAGCUUCCAUGUUUGGAGGCAGUAAACCUAUUGAUGGGGAACAACAGCAGGAGAGGGCUGUUUUCUUCUAGUUUGGCAUGUUGGCUUCCCAGAAACAUCUGGUUGGCCACUGUAGGAAGCAGAAUGCUGAAGUUGAUGGAUCUUUGACUGGAUCCAGCAGGGCUCUUCCAAUAUGGUCAAUGGAAUCCAAGGUUAUGGGGAGACAUUUAGAUGACUACGUGAGGAAGUUACCCAGGUAAUAAGGCAACUUUGCUGUCUGCUGUAUGUGUUAUAUGAAGAAAGAGUAAAGUCACAACAUCUUCCUCUGAGCUUUAACUGAAGUUCAGGAAGCCAGGAAGGCUGGCUGCUGAAUGCCUAAGAGUGUUACUCUUGCUGUUUUUGUUCUUUCAGAUAAGUCCUUCAUUUUACACUUUGUUAAAAAAAUAUAUCCACACUCAUCUCUUUAAAAGCAAGACGAAUGCACUUAAAAAUAAUAACAAUUGAGAGUUGUAUGGUGCAUCUUAGGCAAGCCUCUUACUUUCCUGUAUUUAGAGCAGGGAGGGGGAACCUGUUGCCUUCCAGGUGUUUAACUCCAAUCCCCAUUAUCCUCAGCCAACAUGGCCAAUGGUCAGGAGUGAUGGGAGCUGUGGUCUAACCACAUCUGGAGGGCGGCAAACUCCCCAUCUCUGUGCUUAGAUGAAAGCCUAGAUGGUGAUAUUGUGGGGUUUUCCAGAAAGGUGAACACCUAAGAAGCAGGAGAGGCGAUGUGUCACAUGACAGAAAGGACACUCACAACACACCAUGGCUACCUUAAAACAAAGGUAAGCACAACAAAACUUUGCACCCCACCCAUGAGAAUUUUACCAACAUCUUAUCUACUCUUCGAUAAUUUUCCAUUUUCUUUUCUUAUUAAUUGAUGGAGAUUAAGAAUGGGAAGUGCAAGAGGAGCUACACCAUGAGCUAUAAUGGGAACCCACUGUAAUUGCUACAUAUGGAUGCUCAAAAGUUUGGCCCCAUAAACCGUCACUUCCUUCUCUGUCAAAAUGUUUGGUGUAGAAAAGAAUUUUUGUAUCUGAGCACAAGACCGGAUUUUUUAAAAAAACAAAAACAAAUAAAUUUGCUUCUGUCUGAUCCAAACUCAGGGAAAAUUUUCCACGGGAGACCAAGCCCUAAACUACCUUCUUACGCUACACACCAAGACAAAAAUUUAUAACUCUGCCUGCAUGUUCCAGCCUUGAGGAGGGAGGGGAAAAAAUCCUUAUUAUUUAUUUAUGCCUGUUGUGUUUAAGAAGUUAAAUCCCCAGAGCAUCUCAAUUUAGAUCAAAAGCAAGCUACCAUACUUCACCUGGCACACCUGUGCCUUAUGAUUUCUUAAUUACCUGCCUCGCAUUCCCAAAGCUAGAAGGCAACGGGGCAGGACUCAUUUUCGCGCAUGUACAAAUCUCUGAAAUGCACCUAAUGUAACAAAGCCUUUCCAGAAUGCCUGAGGUGUUAACCAGUUUUAAAGAAUCCCACAGAUCCCAAGCCACUUGCAUUCCGGCAAAUUGCCUCCUUCCAGGUUUUGAGGGUUUAAAAUAAAAUGAUGAGGGAGAUGCCAUAGGGCUCUCGGGCUGUGGCCAGUUAUGAUUGCUCAUCUCUGGGGAUUUCCAUCAUCCCACCUGGCCACCAAAAUGGCACUGAACCUGCAAUCAAAGGAAUCUUGGAUCCUGAUUUCAAUGAGGCCGGGGGCAAGGAGAAGAUGAGAUUCUGGAACUGGGGAGGUAGAUGCAUACAAAGUUGCCAGUUUUCCGGGAGGGGGUAGGGACAACUGACCGCUCUUGUGCCUUUAUUUUUACAUUUAAACCUUACUUUUCUCCAUUAAAAGAAAGUUAAUUCACACAGUGCAUUAUUUAAAAGUAUGGAAUUCACUCCCUCAGGAAGCAGUGAUGGCCACCAAGUUGGGUGUCUUUAAAAGAGGAUCAGACAAAUUCAUGGAAGACGAGGGCUAUCAGUGGCUACUAGCCACUGUUGGAGGCAGUAUGCCUCUGAAUACCAGCUGGUGUGAAUCACAAGUCCCCGCCCCAUUACCUUUCUCCAUCAAUUAAUAACAAAAUUAAAAAUGUCCUUGUGUCCAGGGAAGUCAAGGCAGUACACAAUAUUUUCCAAAAGAGUCUCCUCUCCACACACCAGACCCAGACCUGUUCAGCUUCGGCAAGGUGGCUGCAUCAUCUGCCUUCAGAUGAUACCCUUGAUCUUUCAAAAUCUGCAGGGAGAUAUGCCUGUUAGGUCUCCCCAAAUACAGCUACAGUAUCUGUCUGGAAAGCCGGCAACCCUGGGUACAUCUCUCCCCACUCUUUAUUAGGUUUCAUGCCAAUUCUCUUUUCCUUUAAGAGUACAGGUUGCAAGUGAGUAGAGAAAUAAUUAAUGUUCAAUUGGAGUUACGUGGCUAGAGAGCUCUUUCUUAUUUCUUUUACCGCAGCACCCCUAGGGGCCCAUAGUAAGCCUCUUAAGCUGGGAAUUAGUUGCUAUAGCUUUGCUAUGAGAACCAACUCCACCCAAAAUAGAGUGUAACUUGAUUGUUUGCCAUGUCCUUUUGGGGACCAGCACAUGUAGCUUUCCUUUGAUAUUUUCUUCCUCCUUUUUAAAAAAAUAUGCAGGCGCAAACGCUGAAAUCUUCAGGAGAACAUUGGUACAGGGAAAAUGCUUCUUUAAUCCUUUUCUCUAAGAACUCCCCCAGCAGCUUUUCCUCAAUAGGGAAAAGAUACCAAUACCUUAUCUCUAUGGAGAGAGAAAAAGCACCUGGUGCCAUUUAAAAAAAAAAAAAUAUUUUAUUAAGGAUUUUCUUGUUUUACAGAAGUAAGUGUAAUGCCUCGUAUUUUUUUCCCCCAUGUAACAUUUUUACAAAUCCGUUUCAUUUGCUGAGGCAUUAGGGGGAGAAGAAAAAAAGGAAAAAAGAAAGGGGGGUGGAGAGAGGGAAGAUGGAUGGGGGUGGAGUCGGGUGGUGGUGUUUCUAUUAUGUUUAAUGUAUGUAGAGUUUGGUGUCAGCGUUGCUUGUGUUGUUCACUUGUGUUCCUUUGGUGGUGAGAGAGGUUGGGGUUGGCCUAGGGUGUGAUUGUUUGCUUGUGAUUGGCUGUGGUGAUCUUUGUUUUCGUGUGUGAGUGAGGUGGGUGGGUGUUUUGGAUCAGGUUAGCCAUAUUGAUUUGUAUGCUGUUGGUGGAUUAUUGUCAUUGUCCUGUUGGGCUGUGUAUGUGAUAAAGGAGAGCCAUACCGGGGUGAAGGCGUCUUCUUCUGUUUGUCCCCGUGUCAGUUUCAGUUUAUUAGUUAAUUUUUCUAGUAGGGCUGUUUCCCAUACUAUUUGGUACCAUUGGUCCAUGUUUACUCCUGACAGGUCUCUCCAGUGUCUGGUUAUGGUGUUUCUGGCUGCUGAAAGUAGGUGGGUUAUGAGUACUUUGUGGUGUAAAUGGGCAUUGUUGUCUUGGAAGAUGUUUAGUAAGGCCAAUUCUGGGGUGAUGUCUAUUAGUUAUUUUACAUAUUUCUUGUAUGGCUGUUGUCCAGAAUAGUUGGAUUUUGGGACACUCCCACCACAUGUGGAGGUAUGUGCCUGUGGAGGUGCACCCUCUCCAGCAUUUUGGUGAGGUUCCUGGGUGUAUUAGCGCUAGUUUCCUUGGUGUUAGGUACCACCUGUAGGUGAGUUUCAGUGUGAGUUCUUUUCUUUUCGUUGAUAUGGAUUUAAAGAGGGUUUAGACCACAUUCUGGUCCAUUGAGUGGGGUUAAUCUCAUAGCCUAUGUCAUUUUCCCAUUGUUUUUUGAUUGCAUCUAAGGGAUUUGCGGGAUUUUGGAGUAGUAUUUUGUAUAUUGCAGAUACCGUCCCUUUACCGUUUCCCUUUGUUGUUAGGAGGAGGUUUUCGAAGGUUGUCAGGGGCCUAGUUGCUGCUGAUUUUACUGUUGGGUUGUUUAAGAGGGCAUGUAGUUGGUGUUGUGUUAACCAGGGCAUUUGGGUGUCUUCUAGUUUGUCUUGUAUUUCUUGUGUUGACAAGGGUUUGUUAUUUUUAUAAAAGUCUAUUAGGCGAUAUAAGCCUUUGGUUUGCCAGGUUUUUAUCUGGAGGUUUUGUGCUGCAUGGUGGAAUAAUGGGUGGUACGCCAGGGGGAUUAGUGGGGAUGGGGUUGGGGAUAGUUUGCCUAUUUGUGUUUUCCAUGCUUUGAGCAUGGUCUGUGUGUACCUGUUAAGUGUUGUGGGAAGUUUCUUUAGUUUGUUUGGGAGGAGUGGGUAUGUUGUGGUGCAGGUAUUUUCAAUUGUGUCCCUCUCUAGGUGUACCCAUUGUUUGUCUCAUCUUCUAGUAUAUAUGGGAUUAUAUGGCGUAUUUGGUUGGCAUUGUAAUAUGCUGCUAUGUUGGGGGUUCCCCAUCCUCCUUCUGAGGUGGGGAGGUGCAGGUAUUUGAGGCUUAUUCUUGGUUUUUUAUGUGAGAAGAUGAAAGAGUGUAGUUUUCUCUGCCAACUGCGAAGUUGGGUUGAGGGGAUCCAGAUUGGGAGGGUUUGGAAUAGGUAGGAUAGGUUUGGGAGUGUGAUCAUUUUGAUCAUGGCUAUUUUGUCUGAGAGAGUGAAAUUCAUGUUAUUCCAUCUCUUUAGGUCUUUGUUAAUUUGUCGCCACAGGGGCUUGUAGUUGUGGAGGUACAAUUUAUUGAGGUUUCUGGUUAUUUGUACCCCUAGGUAUCUCAACUUGGUGUGGCAAAGUUUUAUUUUGGUGACCUUCGUGAGUUCUUUUUGGGUGUGAGGAGGGGUGUUGAAGCACAUAGCUUCUGACUUUGUAAAAUUUACCUGUAGGCCCGACACCAUUGCAAAUGUGUUGAGUUCUCUGAUUAGGGAGGUUGCUGUGCUUAUGGGGUCUGGUGUUGUGACCAUUAGGUCAUCUGCAAAGAGCCCUAAUUUAUAGGUUCUGCCUUUUAUUUCCACUCCCUUGAUGUCUGUGGCUGCUCGGAUGCGGAUUGCUAAGGGUUCCAGAGCCAGGAUAAAUAAGAAGGGAGACAGUGGGCAUCCUUGUUUCGUGCCUCUUUGGAUAGCUAUAGUAUUAGAAUCCAUAUUGUUAGUUCUGCAUUUUGCUGAGGCUUGGGAGUAUAUUUGUUUGAGGAUUUGUAGGAAGUUGGGGCCAAAUUUCAUGUUAGUUAGUACUGCUAAUAUGUAUUUCCACUCUAAGCAAUCAAAGGCUUUGAGGAUGUCUAGGAACAUAAUUGUCAAUGGGAGUUUGGUUGCCUUGCUGUGUUCGAUCAGGUUCAGUAGUUUCCUGAUGGGGUCUGUUAUAUUGCGGCCAGGGACAAAGCCAGUCUGGUCUGGGGCUAUUAACUUGUGUAGGAAGAUUUUUAGGCGGUUGGCCAAGAUUGAUGUGAAUAUCUUGUAGUCUUGGUUUAUUAAUGAGAUUGGGCGGUAUGAUUCUACUUUGAGGCUGUCUUUUAGUGGUUUUGGGAUGGAGACUAUUUUGGAGUGGGUCCAGGUUUUGGGGAUGGGGCCCCUUUUAUGAUGUCGUUGAAUAGGCGGGUCAUGUAGGGCAUCAAGGGUUCUUUGAAUUUCUUAUAGAAUUCUGCUGUGAAGCCGUCUGGGCCUGGGGCUUUGUGUGGUUUCAGGUUUUUGAGGACCGCAUCUAUUUCCUCUGGGGUGAUAGGGCUGUCCAUGAAUUCCUGUUUCUUAUCAGUUAGGGUAGGCAUGGUCAGUCCUGCUAGAAAUGUUCUGAUUUCCUUCUCUGGUGGGUUAUGGGAGGUGUAUAGGUUGGAGUAGAAUUCUGCAAAUUCUGAGGUUAUUUCUUCGGGGGAGAAUGUUAUGUUGCCGUCUUUUUGGUGAUGCAGUGUAUUCUUGUUUUGAGUGCUUUUUUCCUACAUCUAUUUGCUAGUAAUCUGGAGUUUUUCCCUCCAUAUUCGUAGAAACGUUGUUUAGAGUAUAGAAUGUUGAUCAUUGUUUUGUUAAUUUUUCGGGAGUCUAGUUCUCUCCUUUUUUGUUCUAUAAGUUUGAGGAGUUUUUUGGAUCCUGUUUGUUUGUAGCGUGAUGCGAGGGCUGUGAUGUCUUGUUCUAUUUUGCUAAUUUUUGAGGAGGUUUGUUUUUUAAGGAAUGUUUUCUCUUUUAUGCAAGCUCCUCUGGUGACCGCUUUCAUUGCGUCCCAUCGUUUUCCUUGAAGUAGUUUUGGAGGGUUUUUGUGAGACUCUCUCUAAUUUGUUUGUUUGUAGUUAGGAUGGGACUGAAGGACCAUGAUGGGGUGGUUUGUGUUCCUUCUCCUAUUUUAACGAUGACUUCUACUGGGGCGUGAUCUGUGAUUUUAAUGUUACCUAUGUUUGUUGAUUCCACUGAGGGGAUCAGACCCUGUGUGAGUAGAAUGCUGUCCAGUCUGGACACUGUAUCAUGGCGUCCCGAUUGGAAUGUAUGGCUGAUGUCUCCCGGGUUUUGCUCACCCCAAAUGUCGUAGAGACCCCUGUUUUUUAGCAUUUGUAGUAACUUGUAAGGGUUCCUAGUUGUUGGGGGUUUCCUUCGGAGGAAGGUUGUCCAUGGGGUUGUAGGGUGGAUAUCUUUCAGGGAUAUACCUUUCAUAUUUAGAUUGAGGUCCCCUCCUAGGAUUGCUUCCCCUUCAGAGAAGGAGAGGAAUUUGUUUAGUGUCUUCUGGAAGAAUUCUAAUUGUUUCGUGUUUGGGGCAUAUAUGGAGCCGAUUGUCAGUUUGAUUUUGCCAUCUAGUGUCCCUUUAGCGAAAAUGAAUCUGCCUUUGUCCUUGAGGACUGUUGUGGCAGUGAAGUUCAGGUCUCUACUGAGUAUUAUGGCUACACCACGAGCUUUCCCUGAGCCUCGUGCGACCCACUGUUGACUGAAGCGGGGUCGCUCAGGAGUUUGCUGCCUUUGGGUGGGUUGUGUAUUUCUUGUAGGAAGGUGAUGUGUGGUUUCAUGGUGUUUAUGUAUGAGGUGAUGCGUUUUCUUUUGAUGGGGUUUCCCAGCCCCCUCACGUUUAAUGUAAUUGCUUUUAGGUUAGCCAUCUUGCUUAUCUAUUAUGUGGGGCGAUUCCCUACCAACCCGUUUGGGUUGUCUUGUAUCUCUCUCUUCGUGUUGUUUAAAGUACCAGUGGGGUUGCGCUGACCUAGGGUGUGGUGGGUUGGGGGCUAGUGGGAUUAGAGUGAGGUUUGGGUUAAAGAGUAGGGGGUAAGUUGUAGGGAGUUUCCUAUAUGUAGUCAUAUAGGUGUUUGUUUGGGGUAUUUUGGGCCAUCUGGCAUUUAGCCGGUUGGUCCUAGGUCUCAGCUGGUGUGGAAGGCCGUGUUCAAGGACAGGCCAUCCCCCCUGUUGUUUGCGAUAGGGGGUGAUCAGCGAGACAGUGUGAAGUGACUUUGUAACGUCGCUGUCAGGUAUAAGGUUCAUAAGCAAUGUUGCCAAUGUUAUGAGCAACAUUGUUGGUGUGUUGGGGUGGGGAUGUGGGUGCUGGUACGCUCUGGUGCCACCAUAGUGCUGGUUGGGUAUCAGAUUUUAGCCUGAUUGUGGGUUGUGUUAUUAAGGUUGGAGGAGUUGUUUUUUUCUUAGUAUGGAGUAUGGGGAUGUUGAAGGUGUGGGUGAUGGGGAAUGUGGUUGAGGUCGUCUGGACUGGUGUUGGGGUGGGGAUUUCUGUGGGGGUGCGGGGCUGGGGGGGAUGUUGAUGGUGUUAACUAAAUCUAUGUUUGGGGGGGGAGAGGGGGAAAGGGGGGGAAAUCACCAGUCCUUCAGUUUGUGGUGUUUUCCUGGUUGCUUCAUUCAGCUGGGGUUGUUGUUGUAGGGUUGUCCAUCUGCGAUGAAUUGGUUUGGUUAAUCUUGGUCUGGUUUCUUGUGUCGUAUGGCCGGCGGGACGAUUCUGAGCGUGAUGCUUCUCUGUAUUGGUUUGCAUUGUUGUGCCGCUUCUGUUGUUUCUUUUUCUUCUGUACCGUUGUCCAGUUGUUUGCUGUUGUUUCCUCCUGGUUGGGGCUGUCACUUGGUGGGUUUGUCGGUUGCCAUUCCGGUGGGAGGUCGAGUUCAAGGUUCUUUAGUAGUUGCAGGGCCUCAGGUAUGUUGGUAGCCAUGUGUUGUGUUGUAUUGGUUGUUACAAUGAGGCGGAAGGGGAAGCCCCAUCGGUAUUUGAUCCCUGCUUGUUGGAGACGCUGGGUGCAUGGGCGCAAGCUUUUCCUCCGGUUUAGGGUAUCCUGAGAUAAGUCCUGUAAGGCCAGAAUGGGGAUUUCUCCAUAUCGAAGGUUGGUUGAGUUUCUGAGGUGGUUCCAUACCUCUUCCUUCUUUUUGUAGCGUGUGAAGCAUACAAUGAUGUCUCUUGGGGGGGCACUGGGUUUUGGCAUAGGUUUUAGGGCUCUGUGAGCCCUCUCCAAGUCAUCUGCCUCAAGUUUCAGGCUUGGGAUUGUGUUUUUCAGCCAGCGUAUAAUUAGGUCUGCUGGGCUUUUCUCCUCUGUCUUUUCAGGAAAGUUGCGGAAGCGGAUGUUACAACGUCUAUUGCGGUCUUCAAGGUCGGCUUGCUUAAUUUUCAUCUCUCUGUGUUCUGCUUCCAUUUGGUUUACCAGUUCGUCCAGUUUCUUGUUCACCCGUGCGUUCUCCUCCCGGUAUUGCUCUAUUAUUCUUUCUUGCAUUUGGUUCUUGUUCUCUAGAGCUUCCACUUUGGAGGUUAGAUUGUUGAUUAGUACCUGCAUGGGAGCCAUUGUGGCCUUCAGUGUUUCUUCUAAUCGUGCUUCUAAUCUUGCUUCCAUUUCCCUCAAAUCUCGUUUCGUUAUUGGGUGGUCAUCAUCUUGAAGGGGAGUUACCGUCUUAGCAUUGUUUGUCAUCUCCCUGGUUGGUGUCAUCUCAGUCUCCCUGAUGGUUUUGGUUUGAGGUUGGCUUAGCGUCCUCUUGGAGUAGGGUGUGUGGUGGUUAGGAGUUGUGGCAGUGGUGAUUCCUGGGUAUUGUUGGGUUGCUGAGCUGAUCAGGCGUUCUUGGCUGGUGGCUUUUACAGAGCGUUUGGAUUAGAUGGUCAUUUGUGUCACUUCUAGCCUGUGUUUUAAGAACUUCUCUAGGGUUUCUGUAGUUGCCUCAGCGGUGCCGCCAAAGCGGGGGGGGGCAGGUAAGCAGAGAUGGGUAGACUAACGGACAGACAGUUCAUAUAAGGGGAGGGGGGGUUAGCAGGUAGAGAUGCAAAAGAUUAGAGGGGUGGGGCCAGGGGAAAUAUGUGUUUAGGAGGGGGUUGUAUAUACCCAAAAGGGGUACUGGGGUCCAGUUAAGGUGGGAGUUGGGGUUGGGAGUGCGCUCAGGAACAGAGACAGACAAAUAGGCUAUAUGUAAAGGGUGGAGGGAGAAAAAGGAAGAAGAAGAAAGAAUGAAGAAGAAGGGGGGAGACGGGGAGAUUGGAGUAAAAGAGGAGAGAGAGAGAGAGAGAGAGUGUUGAAAGAGAGAGGAGAGAUGGUACAGUAAUAUCAGCGGUAAUAGAUUGCAGCAAUAGUUUUAGCUAUAGUAUGAGGGGGGCAAAGUAUGAUACGGUGAUAUGAAUGUGUGUAUGUGUUUCCUUUAGGAGAAGGGGAGGGGGGAUGGAGAAAGGGAGGAGGGAGAGAGAAGGAGAGGAGGAGGGGGAAGGAUGGGAAAAGGAAGGAGAAGAAAAGAGAGGGGGAGAGAGGGGAGGGGGGAGGGAGGGUGAACUGUGGCAAUGGUAUGGGGGGAAAGUCUUAUUUUAAAAGAGGGGGUGGGGGGGAAAGGGCUCCCCCCUCAAAAACAAACUGACAAACAGGCUAAAAAGGGGGGGUUGAUUUUAAAAAAUAAAGGGGAUAGAAAACAAAGUUGGGGAUGGAAAGUGAAGGGUGGGAUAAAAGGAAAAAAUAAGGAGGGGUGAAGAGAGAGAGAGAGGAGAGCAAAAAGGAGGAGAAAAAUAAAAGGGGGGAGUUGAGGGGGAGAGUAUCAAUAGCAAUAGCAGUGAUAUGGAGAAAUUUUUUGUUUUAAAAGAGAGUGAUGGUCAUAGCAGGGGGCGAAGGAUUCCCCCCUCAAGAAGAAGCUAACAAUUAGAAUAGAAAGGGCUUUAAAAAGAGGGGGGGAAAUUGUGUGUGAUUUUUUUUCUUUUUUUAAAAAAAAAAACUAUUUCCCCCUAAUUAUUAUUAUUAUCCUUUGUUUGUAAAAAAGUAAUUAAAAAUGUACGGGUAAAAGAUAAAAAUGAGAGAUAAAGGUUAAAAAAAGGGGGGGUUGUUUAUAUAUAUAUAUAUAGAUGGAUAAAGUUAUUUUAUUUUUUAAAAUGUGUAAAGUACGAAGAGGAUAGGUAAAAGAGAGUGGAAAGUCUGGGGCGAAGUGGCAGUCCCAGGAAAUGACCUGUGUUGUUUCAGGGCUCUUUUCUGGAUACUGCCAUUUUAAUUCUUAAGAGGGGAGUUUGAGGUGAAAAUAAAAUGAGGUUUAAAUUGAGGGUGUGUGUGUGGAAAAGUGUGUCUUUAGAUAGUGUGUAGAAAAGGUAGAAAUAAAAAUAAAAAUUCAAAUAAAGGGUGGCUGCAGCAGCAGUGGCCCCUCUUUUAAAAAGAAAAGUGAUAAAAGUAGGUAUAUGGGGGGGAGGGAUAAAAAAAUUUUUUUUUUUAAAGGGUGGAGGGAGGGGUUAAAAAAAGGGGGUAAAAAAAGGGGGGGAAAGGUAGUUUCUUCCUUUCUGUGAUCUCCUUUGUUAUGCGGCUUCUCUGUGUUUUCCUUGCCACUGGAGCUCCCGGUCGGGCUGAGCCACGUGUUUUUUUCGGAGCCUUUUUUGCCUUCCCGUGCUCACCUACCUCUCCUCUGCUUUCCCGUCGGCAGAGAUGGGGGCAGCAGCGGUAAAUUUGGGGCUCCUUUUUCUUUCUUUCUUUUUCUUCUUCUUUCCCCCUUUUCUUUUUCUCCCUCUCUGCGUUAGCUCCACUGUCCUCCUGGUUUUGGAGCUCCUCUCGGCUGUUGGGGGGGUGGUCGGGUGCCUUUCCGGCUCAAUCUCAGUCGUGGGGGGGGUGUUUUGGCUCCUUUGAUAGACGCCCGGGCACCCCCGAUUCCUCUCCACUGGCGGUGCUGGCGGCAGCAGUCCUGGGAGCCCGGGAGUCGGCCAGACAGAGCCUUUCCUGGCGCCAUUUUUAGUGGGGAAAUUGCCAGAGGAAACUCUCCCUCUUUACUGGUCUUCCACUGCAAAUUGCAGCCUUUGUGGCUAAAACGGGGAUCAAACCUGCAACCUUGGCAUUAUCAGCACCAUGCCCUAACAAACUGAUGUUAGUGGUUAGGUUCAGACACCAUUAGAAGAACUUUCUGGUGGCAAUAGCUGUUUGACAGCGGAAUGGACUACCUCAGAAGGUGGUGGACUCUCCUUCAUUGGAUGUUUUUAAAAAGAGGUUGGAUGGCCAUCUGCCAGGGCUUCUUUGGCCAUGAUUCCGGCAUUGCAGGGGGUUGGACUAGAUGAUCCUCAGGAUCCCUUCCAACUCUAUGAUUCUAUGGUUAAAUAUUACUCCAAAGGAAAUCAGUGCGAGGCAUGUACUUUAAGUUUUACUUCUAUUCAGUCUUCCACUCUAUGAAUCCACUAGUCCCAAGGAAUUAUCACAUUCUUAGUAUCUCAACCAAAAUACAGAGAUAAUAUGACAGUAACGUCAGUAUGUUAUAAAUCCAUACUGCAAUAAGAAGAAGCUGAAAUGUGUAACUCUGCAUGUACAUGGUCACAGGCAAGUGGACAGUGCCGCAUUGUGGCUUCCACUACUAGACGAUCUGUGUUUGUUUCAGGGAGGCUUGUAAGAACCUCUGGCAAGGGGCUUCUGGAUUUCUCCUGCUGCAGUAAGCAAAUUUCCAGGUCCCCAGAUGUUCAUAGCUAGAGGAGUUGAUAUGCUACCAGAUUUGUAUCCACAUAAAGAUCGCCUCGACAGCAGCCACGAAAUUAAAAGACGCCUGCUUCUUGGGAGAAAAGCAAUGACAAACCUAGACAGCAUCUUAAAAAGCAGAGACAUCACCUUGCCAACAAAGGUCCGUAUAGUUAAAGCUACGGUUUUCCCAGUAGUGAUGUAUGGAAGUGAGAGCUGGACCAUAAAGAAGGCUGAUCGCUGAAGAAUUGAUGCUUUUGAAUUAUGGUGCUGGAGGAGACUCUUGAGAGUCCCAUGGACUGCAAGAAGAUCAAACCUAUCCAUUCUGAAGGAAAUCAGCCCUGAGUGCUCACUGGAAGGACAGAUCCUGAAGCUGAGGCUCCAAUACUCUGGCCACCUGAUGAGAAGAGAAGACUCCCUGGAAAAGACCCUGAUGUUGGGAAAGAUGGAGGGCACAAGGAGAAGGGGACGGCAGAGGACGAGAUGGUUGGACUGUGUUCUCAAAGCUACCAGCAUGAGUUUGACCAAACUGCGGGAGGCAGUGGAAGACAGGAGUGCCUGGCGUGCUCUGGUCCAUGGGGUCACGAAGAGUCGGACAUGACUAAACGACUAAACAACAACAAAAGAUUGCCUCCACAUUUCCAUCUCAGUCUUCUUUUAGGAUUGAGGAGACGAGUGAGCAAGGAAGAGUAUUUCAUGUUCACAAACACGAAGGCCAGAUUGUUUAGUGUCUUGUGUCCUUUCCUCGGCAGAAAAAAAAAAGCCUCUCAUCUAAUGUCACCCUAAUUGCCCAAUUUAAUUGCAUUGUAGCAGCUGAUUGUUAAGUAUCCUUGCUAAAGCUGUUUAGCUGAAAUUGGAUUUGCAGUUCAGAAUGAAAAAUUAAUUCAUGCAGAGUUUAUUUAAAUUAAAGAGGCAAAAGCAGCCACCCGUCAUCCUCGUGCUCAAGAGAUUCAAACAGAUAGAUGCCUGAAAUGAGCUGCAUUGAAUUGCAAAGAGCCCUCUUGCAAUCAUCCUAGGUUUGUUGAAGUUGUUCGGUGUUAGGCUACCCAGCGGAGGCAUGUCAGCUCCCAUCAAUAAGCGGGUGAAUUAUUCUUGCCCUCACAAACCCUUUUAUUAUUUGCAAUUUAAUUCACGAUGCUGCAUUCUAAUACAAUCAGGAGACAAUUUUCUUUUAAUUGCAACUUUGGGUACUUUCCCAUGGCCUGAACAGGGAUGAGGUCAUGGUUGACUUUAUUCUGCAUAUAAUCCAUGAACAUGUAAAGAGAAGGGAGUUUGUGUGAUGAUUCGUGUGAAGAUAGUAGGAGAGAAGAACCACUGUGGGGAUUGUGGCUUCAGUUCUUGGACUUCAAUGUGGGAAUUGUGUUGGCCUACUAAUGUUCUAUAUAACAGUAUUCAGUAAUAUGAAAUGUGAACCCCUUUCCUCUCUUUAUUAUUAAAAACUAGAGUGGCAUUCAGCUAAUAUUUACUCUGAGCAGACCCAUUGAAAUUAAUAGACUUAGCCAUGCACAUUAAUUUCAUGAGUCUACUCUGAGUAGUUAAAUACAACCCCUAAUCUUUUAUCUACAACAUCAAUUACACAUUUAGUCCCGCUAAACGUUUCCUACAAGAAAAUUGAUCCUUGGCUAUUUCCUAGCAAACAUCACUUUUCCAGCUCCUCUGUUCAAAAACUGCAGCUCUUGGCUUUAAUCUAACAUGUUUCCUGGGCUACAUGUUAUUCAAACUGAUUAGUCAAAUCACUGAAUGAACCCUCUUGUUAAUCUGAAUUUAAUUGACAUUUCACCCCAGUUUGGCAGGAGCCGGCCUCCCUUGCUUAUCCUUCCAAGAGCUGAGGACAAAUCUCAGGAUGGCCUUACACUCCCCAGCACAGCUAAGAUUAUAGCCUGCCUCUCUUAACUGUUGUUCAUAGAGGUAACAGCAGCAUUUCCCUAACGCUAAGGAGAAGCUUGAGUUGAAUUAAGAAACACAGUUUUUACUUUGGAAAAUAUUGUUUUCUUUUCUCUCUGUGUUAUCUUAUCCUCUUCAUAAUCCAGGUAAAAAUAAUAAUUCAGAGUGGUUCUACACAUUACACAGAAUGGGGCAGCUGAAAGGUGUUAGAAGUCAAUUGUGCCAGCUAAUUGAAAUUGAGGGUCAAUAUUUUUUAACACACACACACAAACACAAAUACACAGCUUGCAUCUAAUAAAACUAUUAUUCAUUCUGCUGCGCUAGUUUACCUAGUGUGGGGAGCUCCUUAUAUUAGGAAUCAUUCAAACACAUGAAAACCUCCCCUGCAGUCUGAAGUGGUGCAGUCCAAAAUUCUAUUGCUGAAUUCUGCAGCCAUCCUGUAUUCUAAUUCUGAUUCAGUUGUUCGGGUUUACGUAGCUAAAAAGGCACCAUGCAGAAAAAGAACAAGGCACCUGAAGAGUCAAGCUAAUCCUGAUAUUUGCAACAGUUAUGAAGAAAAAUAUGGGGCAAAUUACCUAAAGGAUGAAGAUUCAUAUUGUUAAAUCUGCUCCAUUAUGGAGAGCAUUAUCUUUAUGUGACUCUUCCUUAUGUGUUAAAUACCAAAUUUCCCCAUGGAAUGGCAUGUCCAAAGAGAACAAUCCUUCCAUCUAAAGUAAACUAGUCCCAUUAAAAUCAUUUAACAAAAUUGCAAGGCAUUUCACCCACCCCACCCCGCCCUUCAUGCCAUUGCUUUUCCACUUCCAUGGUCACAACUAAUUUUUGCUGAAUUGCAUCCUUGCAAAGCUCGGUUUAAGGUAAGCUCAUAUUCCUACAUGGAUAAAAAUCCCCACAAUAAAAGAGUAAUAUGUCAAAAGGUCCGUAGGCCACAUUCACAUCAUACAUGUAAAGCGCUAUUGUACCACUUUCAAUAGUCAUGGCUUCCCCCAAAUAAUUCUGGGAGCUGCAAUUUGUUAAGUAUGCUGGGAGUUGUUAUGAGACUCCUAUCCCCCCCCCCAAGCUACAGUUCCCAGAGUGGUUUAACACUCCAUCCCUCUUCACAACCUUGGGAAUUGUAGCUCUGGGAGGGGAAUAGGACAAAUGGGACCACAGUUAUAGCAUAGUAAUAUAUUUAAGACUAAGGCCAUAUUCAUACCAUCCAUAUAAAGCACUAUGAUACCACUUUAAACAGUCAUAGCUCCCCCCCCCCAAAGAAUUAUAGGAACUGUAGUUUGUUAAGUGUGCUGAGAGUUGUUGGGAAACUUCUAUUCCCACCACAGAGCUACAAUUUCUACAGACAAGCCAAUUUAGAACUCAAGAGUAUUUGAAUUUUCAAUGACUUUAAGGAAACUAAUUUGGUUUAACUCAAGAGGAGCUUUUUGUUGCAUCUUAAGUAAAACUCUCAUUUGCCCUGCUACAGAUCACUGCAAGAACGGGUACCCUCUUCUAAUCUAGAAAUAACUAGGCUUAACUCUGGGUCAUUGAAGUAAAUUUGCCACAGUAUGGUCUCACCUGGUGCUCUUCAGGAAUUCUAUGGGUUGGUCUGCACAGACAUGCACUUCACUUUAUUGCUCAACACUUGAUUCCUUGAUGAACGCAUAAGCCAAAAGCAUUGUGCUCAUGCGGAUAUGAGAGCAGUAGUGAAGUAGCAAAUUCAGAUGUGCAGGGUGCCUUCCUCACAGCCAUGAUUAUACAACCUUCUAAGAUUAUACAAUAAUCUUAUAAUUAUACAAUAAUAAUAAUUAGGGAUGCAUGGCAAUGAUCAAUGCAGAACUCUGUGUUCUGCCUUUCAGCUAGAUCUACUGUUUUUUGUACACAUACAUGGGCAAAUGAUUUGUGGUGCUGCAAUAACCUCUUUCAAAAUGACUUGAGCUGUGUUUUUCAUGAAGGUCCAUUGUACAUAACAAAACUUGCACACCAUUCCCUUGAAACUGAAGCAUCUUGUGUUUUCAGUGUUCCCAAAUGCUUAGUUUUGGAGCAUACAGCUGCUAAGAGGUUCCCCCUUUUUUACUGAUUGGGCAGCUCUAGGAUGCUGGAGACAUGGAAUCUGCUGCAAAAAUAGUAAUAGGACCCCCAUCCCACAACCCCAGGCCAUUGCACCAGUGUAUGAGAGUUCUAUUUACAAUGCUUGAUCUUCAGUUGCACACUCUGCAAUUAACACUUGAUGCUGUGGUGCCCAAGAGAUCAGUGUGCAUGUGUGAGCUUACCCUGAACCGAACCAGACCCUGAGAGCAUCACCUGAGGCCCUUCUUCACGUGCCCCCUCCACAAGAGUUAUGGAGGGUUGCAACACAAGAAUGGGCCUUGUCUGCAGUAGCUCACUCUGUGCCUUUGUUACAGGCAAAAACAUUCCUCUUCUUUUAGGCCUUUGGCUAAUUAAACAAUCUAUGGCCUUUUAAAGUGGGGUGGGGUAUUGUUUUGCUUGUUCCUAUGUUAUGUAUUUUCCUGUUUUCAUACUGUAAACUGCCCAGUGAUCCUCAGAUGAAGGGUGGUAUAGAAAUUUAAUAAAUAAACAAAAACUUGUGGGUCAAACUGAGAGAGGCAAAGUUACUCCAUACAUUUGGGAGAAACCAUAGUGAUACAAGUACGAGUGGGAAGAAACCUGAGCAGAUAGCAAGACAAAAGCAACUUGCAGACAGCCGUGAAGAAGAUGGGAUGUUCUCUGCAUAACCUUAAUAAUCUCCAAACACACUUAUAACAAAGAUCUUGAAUUCAUCUCUUAAUGCCUAGAGGAAAUUUUCAUCCAAAGGCAGCGUGACAUUGAGAUUAGCUUCUGAUGAAGGCAGCCAAGUUGGAAGGAGGGAGAAAAGCCAACACCUGGCAUUUCAAUUUAUCUUACCUUUCAUGUAAUUUAUUCAGUAAAUAAAUAGCUGAUUACCACAAUAAGCUUUCCUUGGCUUUGAGAGCUGGACUGACUAUUGGAGGCUAUAUAAUUGAAAGCCUGCGUAUGUUUCAAAGGGAGGGGGGAGAGGGCAAGAGAGAACCUCUUGAAACACACAGCUGGAUGUUUUAGUGGAGAAUAACAUUCUUUAUACUCCAUAGACUUUUCUCUUAAAUCUCAGCUGUCAUCGCUGGGUAAUAUCCCCACCCUAUCAGAUGUCAUGGAUGCCCCAAAUUUCCCAUCGCCCUCUGUCUACUUAAAAUGCUUUUGCUUUCUGUCUAAUUGGUAGAAGAUCAGAUAGUGGCUGUCUUCAAAUGAAGUCUGUUGUUUUUAGAAUGUUAACAGUCUGAAACAGAGCAUGACAAACAAUCCAACCUCUUCAAUUGUUUCAGUAUAUCUUGAGGGUAGGUGUACUUCUACUGGGGCUAGGAUCACCAAGGAUGGAGCCCCUGUUGCAUUACCAGAGCUCCUCCACAGCAGAAAAUGAGAUGCUUUGAAGCUGGCUCAAAGGCCUUAGAAGGUAUUUCAUGGCCAGGAUGUCGGUGGAAUUUUAGUAUCUUCCACAUCAUUCCAUGGGCCUCCAGAAACAACAGGACUAACUGUUCACCACCACCAAACAGUAAAAAGGAUCCCAGGUAGCCGAGCUGAGAAAGAACUGCAGCCAGUGACAGCAGACAGUACUGAGCUACAUGAACCAGUUUGGAACAAAGCUGUUUUCAUAUAUUCAGCAACGAAACAGGCAUAACCCUAAAUAGAUUCCCUACUUUAUAAGCAAUCCAGGUACCAGGACUGAGGUUGUUCUUUUAACGGUAGACAUGUAAAAGAAGAAAACAGGACCCAAUUCAACCCUAACUAAAUCCUAUUGAAAUAGGGGUGUGUGCAAAGUUACAACGCAUACAGUUAAGUGGGAGUAAUCCACUUAACUCAGAGGCUGUAUGUUCAAAUGAUUUCAAUAUUAUUUAAAAGCAGAAGAGCCAUGCAGGAUCAGGCCAAAAGCCCAUUUCGUCCAUCCUGUUCUCACAGAAUGCCUAUGGGAAGCCCUCACACAGGACUCAAGUGCAAUUUAUUUAUUAUUCUAAAAGCUUUAUAAUACAACUUAUUUUGAAAGGAACUCAAGGCAGCUUACAUCAUACAAGAUAAAAAUGGAUAUUCAUCAGUCGCACAUCAACCAAGUAUCGUGGAAGAACAGCAUUAAUGGAACAAACCAAGGAUUCAAAUAGCAAGGGUCAGCCAUUAUAAACAGCAAGCAAAAGAGAACAUAGCUUGCAGAGUGGUGGGUCAGGAGUGGUCUGCCUUGUGGAUUGGCCAAUGGUCAAGUUCAAGGAAUAGCCCUCUGCAGAGUCCAGGCGAGAGCCCUUUGUAGCCAAUACAGCAAAAUGGCUUCAGAAACCUCAAACAAGCCUCACCAAACUUACUCUACUGUAAGCUCCUAUUAGAGAAGACAGAGACUGUAGCUGAAAACCAUCCAGCCACAUCAAAAGGCAAUGCUGCAAAUAAAGGGAGGGCCAGUGCUCAGCCCCCAAGUGGAGCUUGGAAGCUCAGCAUGCCUGUUUUGCAAUUUAGGUGAUCAGCUGAGCACCCUACCCCAGAAUUGAAUCAAUGUCUGCUUCAUCUAGGAGCUCUCCUAGGUCCUGCACCACUUCACUUCGCCCUGCUAUGAGGAUCUUGUCUGUUGACUGUUGCAUGCUGACUGGCAAUAAAUGACUCCAGCUGCAGUUGAGCCUGAGUUCAUUCAAAUUGUAUUUAAAUAUAUAUCCAUUAAUAAAAAUAGCAUACAAAAAUGCAUUCUGUCAGGGGGGAAUUGGGAAAAUGCAUAUACUAAGCAAAAUUGUAUUCAAAGAAAUUGUGUGAAAAUGCAUAUGAAUUUUCAUGCAGACUUUUUAUUUUUAAAAAAAGAAAAGACAUAUGCAGAAAUGUUCAAACCAAACUUAAAGACUGGGGAAAUGCGAAACUAAGAUAAACCAAAAUGAAUAGAUUUGCCCAUUCCUAGCUGUAUCUCAUUAAGUACUUCCUUUAUGUCUCUCACACCCUAAACAUGACUGGUGCAAAGCUUUAGUCUGCCAUCAGUUUCAUUUAAUACAUUUCUUUCAAACUGUAACACUUAAAAACCAUAACCAACGUUAUAACAUAGUCUGCUUUCAUCUUUUGCACAUUAGUGUUGUUAUUGCCUUUAAAAAAGCAGCCUGUGUUUUGUUUCCAAAUUAACAACAUCCAGUUUUAAGAAACAAAAUUUAAUUAAGAGAACUUGGAGUUAAUGCUGCAAUCCUACACAUGUCUUCUCAGAGAUAAGUCUUACUAAGUUCAGACUUAUUCCUGGGCAGUUUAUGUAGGAUUUCAGCCUCAAUUAUUUACAUAAGAAAACUCAAUUAACAGUGUAAUCCUAAACUUGUCUCCUUAGAAGUAAAUUAUACUGAUUUCAAUGGUGCUUGUUUCCAGGUAAGUGGGGUAAGAAUUGCAGCUUUAAUAAUCUAAAUCUGGUUUAAAGACGCAACAGAGUUGAUGAAGAGAUGAAUUGCUCUUCUUGUUGUGUGUGUUUUUGAAACAAAUAUAUUUUCACAAGCGAAGUAUCUCGUUCCUUACAGCUACUUUAGGCAUUUAACUUGUUACUACAUGACUGCAACUAUAGUCCCUACUGAAAUGAGCAUUUCCCCCCCUAAUUUUUUUGUCACAUCAUUAAUAUCUUCAUUCAAAGAUCACACAUCUUUACUUCAAAUAAGCCAUUCAACCAUACAGUCAACAUCAUAUGACCUCACUUACAAACAACCUUUGACAGCUGGCAGAAGGGUGAGUAAUGGCGUUCCACCUGCCCUCUCCGAGAAUUCUUGCAUACUUGCUUUAUAUCUUGGCUUUGAAUGAUCACAUUGCAAUCAGUAACCUCCUAAAUUUACCAAUGAUUUUCACAAAUGCAUUAGCUUUCCUACUUAAUUCAGUUUUGUUUGUUUGUUUUCAAACAGAAUUGCACAUUUAAGCAGAGAACAUCCUUUUUAAAAAAUAUAGAAAUAGAGGCUGAAGAAAUCUUGGCUCCCAUCCAGUUCUAGUCAUGGGCAACUAGAUGAGUGUUAACAACUGGUGGUCUCAGGUGAGGAUGCAGACCCCAAAGCAAAUACGAAAAUCUAAUCAGACCGUUCAGUGGAAUCUAGAUGUUCAGAGCAGUGCAGAUCCAUACUAAUGCAAGUGGCAGCCCCUAUAUGGGGCUGCCCUUAAAGACUAUUCAGUGGGGGUAGAUAGAGUAGCCCAUUUCAGUUCCUAAGUGGUUACAUAUUGAACUAGUUCCACACUGGCUGCCAGGGACAUUCCAGGCUCAAAAGAUUUUUACAUUUAAAUACCUUCAUGGCUUGCAACCAGCAUUAUCUUCCAAAGCUCCCUCCUCCUGCAUGAACACACUCUCCUUUUAAGAUUUGCAUUGAGAGUCAUGCUCCAACUGCUCUCCCUUUCAGGAGUUUACAUUAUAAAUAGUGUUGAACAGGACUUUCUUGACCAUUGUCCUAGCUUUGAAGAAUCACAUCUCCCAAAAGGUUCAUCAGCAUUCUUUCCUCUGUGCUUCAGAUGUAUUUGCAAGGUCCAUCUGUUCUGGAAGGUCUUCCUCAACAUGAUGCCUUCAAGAUAUUUUGGACUACAACUCCAAUAAGCCUCAGGGACAACAGGAGUUGUAGUCCAAAACCUCUGGAGGGUAUUAAUUUAGACCAGUUAGAUGGAGGGACAGAUGUACUUUAAGAAUGGAAGAGCCUGCUUGGUCAAACCAAUGGCCCAUCAAGUCCACCAUACUAUUCUCACAAUAGUCACCCAGAUGCCUGUGGAAAAUUCUCAAGCUGAGAACAAGAGCACUCUCAUCUUCUAUGGUUUCCGGCAACUGGUAUUUAGAAGCAUGACUGUCUCUGAAUGUGGAGGAAGAGCAUAGCCAUCAUGCCUAGUAGCCAUUGAUAGCCUUAUGCUCCAUGAAUUUGUCCAAUCUGUGGCCAUCACUGCCUCCAGUGGGAGUGAGUUUCACAGUGCGCUGCAUGAAGAAGUAUUUUCUUUUAACUGUCCUGAAUCUCCCAACUUUAUUGGGUCCCAUGGCUUCUAGUGCUAUCAAAGAUAGAAGAAACUCUAUCUACUUUCACCAAGCUAUGCAUAAUUUUAUAAAUGUCUAUCAUGUUGCCUCUUACUUGCCUUUUCUCUAAACUACAAAGUCCCACUUUGGUUUUGACAGUAUUACUGUUUUAGAUUUUCAGGUUUAUAGUUCUAGGGUUUACUUUUAGUUUGUUCUACUGUAUGAAAUUGAUUUAAAUUGAUGUUGUAAGCAACUAUGGAAAAGCUGGAUAGGAAAAUUAUAAAUUAACCAGCUCACAGACCUGCUUCAGGAUCUUGGAUGCACAUGUAGAAUGCCUGCUGAAGGACCAGGAAGACACAUUUUCAAAUGAACUUCGCUGGGUGAUCUGGGACCAAUAACUUUCUCUUACUCAGCCUUGCCUACCUCACAAUGCUGCAGGGAGAACACAGGAGAUUGGGAAACACGAAAGCUGUCCUGAUCUCCUUCAAAGAAUGGUGGGAAGCAAAUGUAAAAAUAAAUAAUUCAUGAGUCCCAGCAGCCCAAAGUAAUACAGUCAGGAUUUAUUUUAUACAUGUCUACUCAGAAGUAAAUCCCAUAGCGUUCAAUGGUAUAUGAAUAUAGCCAUGCCACUAAAGGGUGGUAUUUAGCUAAGUUACUCAGAUCAGACUCACUGAAUUAAUAGACCUAACUAAGUCAUGUUCAUUAAUUUCAGUGAGUUUACUCUGAGUAAAAGCUGAGUACCAUCUGAAGUGGUCUAGCAAGUUAACUUUUACUUACGAGUACACCCACUGAAAUAAAUGGAUGUUAGUUGGUAAUGUUCAUUAUUUUCAAUAUAUCGACCCUGAGUAGAAUAACACUGGAUAUAAACCAUAGAAUUCUUUCAGAUCCACCAUCACUGGAAUGGAGACAGGUUUUUUUCUUUAAUGCCCAUCAUAAAACUCCAGUGAGUUGUAGUCAUGGAUGGCUAACAAGAGCCAACACAGUCAAAAUCAUCUGGACAGGAAGCCAGCACUCUUUUGAGGGCCAGAAAUAUUACUGGAAACUCAUCUUUCCAAAAAUUAUUAUGCCUCAAGUUUGCUUCCGGCUACUAGGUCAAAGUGCUUACAUCCAAUUAAUGAUAUACACCUACGUCUACCCAGAAUAUAAUUUAGUUGUGACUAUACUUUAUUGCUCCAAUAAUCCUUUGAAGACCAAUCUAACAGUCAUUGUGGAUCUUUUAUUAAAAGUGCUACUUUAUAACAAAUGCCACAGUCUCCAGUUUUACCAACAGACUCCUCUAAGCAGCAAACACACCAAAAACAGAGGGGGAGGGUUUCAAAGACACUAGCUAAUAUGCUUUUCUUUACAGUGGAGUACUAUGGCCUGAAUGUCACACAAUAUGUAUUUUAUAGCAAGAGACAUAAUUAAUAGCAAAACAGGAAUAUGCUUCAAAGAGCCCUCACCCUUUUUUAUGUAGCAUAUCAAUAUUGUGAUAAAUAAUGUAUUUGAAAGCACCCUCAGAUAGUAAAAUCUAUAUUUAUCUCAACAAGACAAAUUCUCGUUUUCAAUGUCUAUUCUAGUUUUCAUACAGAUCUUUGCAUGAAAAAGUAUCUGAUGAGGCACCGUAAGAUACUGAGUGGGGAAAAGGCAUCUUGUUGUGAUUUAUCAAAUGCAUAAGAACCAAGAAUGGCUUUCUGUUCCCAUGGUGUUCAGAUCUGCACACAAAGGCCAUGCUUGCCUGACAAUGGCAAUGCAAUCAUAUUCUCUCCCAGGGAGGAAAUCAAAGCUACUUUGCUCCUCCACCAUCUUUUUAGCGCAUCUCAGAGUGGCACAACAGCUAAGCCAACGUUCCGCUUAGUGUGUCUUCCAAAUGCAAGAUUGUGGUUAAACUCUCUCCUCUUUAACCAUGAUUGGUAGCCAGGAAUAAACCAUGAUGACUUCUCUAUGAGAUUUUCAUGUUCUGCGAAACCUAUGGUCCUAUUGCUCUGAUGCUGUGACCAGAGAUGGUCAAAGGUAUGUUGGUGCUUUGAGCAAAAAAAAUCCAAAUGGUGAGCCUUCUUCCCAGUGGGGCAUAAAUACAUAAUAAUGAACUACAUAUCUGUGCAUCAUUAAUAAUGAACUACAUAUCUGUGCAUUAAGGGACGCGGGUGGAGCUGUGGGUUAAACCACAGAGCCUAGGACUUGCUGAUCAGAAGGUCGGUGGUUCGAAUUCCCGUGACGGGGUGAGCUCCAGUUGCUCGGUCCCAGUUCUUGCCAACCUAGCAGUUCGAAAGAACGUCAAGGUGCAAGUAGAUAAAUAGGUACCGCUCUGGCGGGAAGGUAAACGGCGUUUCCGUGUGCUGCUCUGGUUCGCCAGAAGCAGCUUAUUCAUGCUGGCCACAUGACCCGGAAGCUGUACGCCGGCUCCCUCGGCCAAUAAAGCGAGAUGAGUGCCGCAACCCCAGAGUCGGCCAUGACUGGACCUAAUGGUCAGGGGUCCCUUUACCUUUACCUUAUCUGUGCAUCAAGUCUGGGUGCACAGUAGAGCUUUGAGGUCCUCUCCCCUCCACACACACACACGACGAGGGGAGUUAUUCUGUCUGAGAAUCUAAUUCCAUACCUCCCUUUUGCAACACCAGUGGAGAAGAAAUGGGAUCUUCCUUCCUAGAGAGAAUCUCUUUUCUGUAAAGAAUGUUAUAGUAUGCCAAGGUAUAAAACUUCUGGGUUUGCUAAUGGCUACAGGAAUUUGAAAUGUGUGUAGUUCAGGAAUGAAGAACCUGUGGCCCUCCAGAAAUUGCUGAGCUACAGCUCCCACUAUCCCUUACCAUUGACAAUAGUGGCUGGGGUUGAUGGGAGCUGGAAUCUAACAUCUUUUGGAGAACCAUAGGUUCCCAUCCCUUAUAUAGUUUUGUGGGGCUGGAACACAGAUACAAAUGAAACUGCAGUCUCUUUGGGUACAUUUAUGAAGUUCACAAUCAGAGAGAGGAAUAACAUCACAUUCUCUAUGGAAAAUCAGUUAUUAUUUGGGGAAGCCAGGAUGUGCUGAAUGAAACAUCUGUUUGAGAAGCAGAGGAAGAGUGGAAUAAGGCUCCUGGUGUGGUUUAAUUCUUUUCCUAAUUCUUUUUUUUUUUAUGUUCCAGUGCUUCUAUGUGUAAUGAAAGAGCCUACGCAAUUGCCACACUAAUCAUUUAUAAUCAGAAAAUAGACAAGUCCCAUUGUAUAACUGAACCAGCAAUAUAGCACCAUCUGGUGUGUGAAGAGUGAAGAUGCAAUAUGGGAAAAAAUGCAAAUGCAGUUUUGUAAUGAACAAGAAGAGAAGGAAUAGCAAAGUGUGCAGUUUUAGGAGGAGCCACCACAUGGCUUGCGGCAAAAGCGGCAAAAAUUAUGGCAAUUUUCAAAAUCACCUGGUUUUUGUUCAAUAUAUGCCACAGUUAUCAGACUUCUAAUGCAGAACAUUUCUGUGAAAGUAUUCCGCAAAACACCAAAUAAUUGGCCAAAUAAGAACACUGGGAAAAGGAGUGAAAAGCAAAUAGAGCUCAUUUUCCCCACCCUUGCUCCUCACUCCCACAGAAAGCAUCUGAGUUGCCAGAACUGAUUAUCCAGAUCACCCUUCCUAAUCUGGUGCCACCCAGAUGCUUUUGGAUUCUAGUUUCUGGUAUCUCUGACCAGUGGCUGUGCUAGCUGGGGCUGAUGGGAGCUCUAGUCCAAAAUAUCUUGAAGAUCACCAGGUUGGGAAGAGUGUAGGAACAGUGAAGACAAAAGGCACUGUGGGCAGCUUUAAGGGAGGCAAAAGGAGCAAGGACUGACAUAGGGAUGCAUAAAGUCACAGUCUUUCCCAACCUGAUGCCCUCCAGAUGUUUUGAUGACCAUUCCCAUCAGCCCUGGUGUCAUAUAACUGUGCUGGCUAGGGCUGGUGGGAAUUGUAGUAAAAAGGAAAGGGAAAAAAGAACACCUGGAUGGUAUCAGGUUGAGGACAGUUGCCUUACACCAAGUCAUACUGCUUGUCCAUGCAGCCCAAUAUUGUCUACUCUGAAGGUGCAUCUUCAUGGUCUUUCCCAUCAAAAACUACCUGGUCCUUUUUAACUGCAAAUGCCAGAGGCUGAACCUGGUGCUCUUCUUGAUGGGCUUGGUCCAAACAAUGACAAACUAUUGGUGCUUUACUAUUCCAAUUUUAAAAUAUGAUGGGAUUGGAUUGCGGAUAUAGGGUAUUCUACUUCGUGUAUUUUGCACGCACCCAAAAUGCUCAGUUGAUGACUGCAACAUGCAUACAUGACAUUAAAUGAUGUUUCAGCAUUGUUUGGAAGCUUUCUGUUUUUCAACUAACGAAGGUUUGUUAUUUCAGAAACUGGAACUGUGGUUAAUUAUAACUAUGGUUUAGGGGGGGAACCUCUGGCUCACAGACCAAUUGGGAGCCUAAAAAUGCUACGCUGAUGGUUUCAUAGCAAGUAAGACUUGCUGUCAAAUGCUAAUCAGCCAAAGCAGGGCUUACUGUUAGCACAAAUGAUCCUUUCAAUUGCUUUCCUGAAUGCAAGCUAGCAAUGCAAAGGCUCUUCCUCAUAGCCUAAUCUAAGCCCACAAACAUAAGUGAACUAAGGAUCCAACCCACUGGCUGUAAAAGGUUCCCCACCUAUAAAAAUAAGCCACUUUGCUAUAUAGUAUACAAGCAAGAAGUAAACUUCCUUGCACUUACACAUGAGACCGAGUGAGAUUUUCUUCAUGUUUGGAACUAAUUUACUCCUAGUUUAACCAGGAGUUAGUGAAAAGAUAAGUGGGGAGUGUAAUACAUUAUCCUAAUGUAAGUAGAAGAAAAAGUAAUAUGUAAACUGAGACAGGAAGUCUAUGAUAUUUUUUAUACACUGGGUCUGAUUUAAGCAUCCUUGUCUCACAAUUGAAGUGAUUAAAGCUUGGUAAGGGAGUGAUUCCUUCUUGAAAUCCAUAUUCAUGAGGACCUCCUCAAAAUCUGAUGUUAUUCCAUGUCUUUUAUUCUUGAUUAAUUUGGAGCGUUCUCAUCAUUGCAGAUACAGAUUAGAAUCAUCACUGGUCCUUCACACACUCUUUACAAGGGGUUAGAAAUGCUUCGUUCUGGCAGGUUUUAAUCACCUUCUUUCCUUAAUAGAAAGUCCAACUGUUACCCCAACUGUUCUAAUUUUGGACCAGGAUCCCUAUUUAUUUUCAUUUCAUUUAUGCAUUCGCUUACCCCAAUUUUCUGAGGCUUAUGCCCCGCUCAUAGUAGCUUAAGGUUUUUUUUUAAAAAAAAAUGUAAAUUAAAAUUACUAAUCACCAUUAAAACAAAUCAGUAAAAUAAAAUACAAAGACAGAUGUAACAGAUAAUAACUGCCCUCAACAUAGGCGCUUAUGUAAGGCAGUGCAGAACAUUUUCAGGCAAAGGCUGAAAUUCUAACCCCGCUUAACUGGGAGGAAGCCCUACUGAAUUGAAUAGGACUUACUUUUUGAGUAAACGCGAUUAGGAUUAAGCUUCUGGUGUCAAUUUUGCUCAAGGAUGGCCUAAGACAUUUUGUUACCUGAGGCAGAAAAAUCCUACAACUGCCCCUUCCUGGGAGUAAAAAUGCUACAAUAAUAAAUAAAAUAACUAAGAUUUUGUUGCCCCUUCAUUAUACCCCAAACAUUAUACCGCCUCAUUCUUCCUAAUGGUAGAACCUGCCCUGAGUCUACUAGUCUCAGGUGAGCUCCAAACAGAUGGGCAGGUUCCUGAGCCUCUUGGGCUUGCCGAUCAGGUCGGCGGUUCGAAUCCCCGUGGCGGGGUGAGCUCCCGUUGCUCUGUCCCAGCUUCUGCCAACCUAUCUGUUCAAAAGCAUGCCAGUGCAAGUAGAUAAAUAGGUACCACUGUGGUGGGAAGGUAAAUGGUGUUUCCGUGUGCUCUGGUUUCUGUCACAGUGUUCCGCUGCGCCAGAAGCGGUUUAGUCACGCUGGCCACAUGACCCAGAAAGCUGUCUGUGGACAAACGCCGGCUCCCUUGGCCUGAAAGCAAGAUGAACGCUGCAACCUCACAGUCACCUUUGACUGGACUUAACCGUCCAGGGGUCCUUUACCUUCUACCUUUGCUACGUGGACUUAUUUGGUAGGCAUGAAUGAAGAAGGCAGCCAGAUUAUCUCCUCAUAUUCAGACCAGGUACAGGUGGAUUGAACUAAGAGAGCAAGGUACUAAAGGUCACUUUGAGAGGCCUGCUUUCCAUUCUCACAUAUGUCCAUUGCAUGAGACACCCAAAGCAAGAGCAGCUGGCAUGGUGGUGCAAUUGGGGCUGCCUUGCUCUUCCGACUUCCCAACCUCGCAUGUCCUGUAACUUACUGAGAAGGGGACAGGAAAGGGCAAGGCAACAAAAAGCUCAGGUUGGUACAGGUACAGAAUUAGGAGCCCUGGAUUGGCCCUGCCACUACUGACUCCAGACUCCCUCCCAAUUCUGCUUGGGAUAGGACUAAGUUGUCAGAGGUCAAGGAGUCUAAAUGAAACUCAACUCACACCCAAAAGUGGGUUCAGAGAGAUUCUCAAUGAGCCAAAACUGAACUCAAACCUAAGACCCCUCUUGGUUAUCUUGACUCCUAUCCUACAUUUUGUGUUUGAGUGUGAAGUGUAGGGAGGGCUGUAGCUCAGUGGUAGAGAAUGUGCUGUGGAUACAAAAGGUCCCACCUCAGUCCCCAGUAUUUCCAGGUAGGUCUGGAAGAGACCACUGUCUAGAACCCUGGAGAGCUGCUAUUAGUCAAUGUAGACAUACUGAAUGUAUCUAUAUAGACCGAUGGCCUAACUUCGUAUAAGGCAACUUCUUAUGUUCCUAAUACAGGCAGAGUCCAUGUAAAUGUAGAUGGCUUGAUCAUAACACCAGCCAAGUUCAAUUUGUAUUUUUGUUGACAUUCUUAAUCUAACUUAUUAAACUCUAGACAAAUUUUCAGUUCAAACUUUGCAUUUAGACUGAAAUUUCAGAUCUGGUAUGCUGAUUUAAUUUUAUUUUUUUUUUUGAACAUGCAAUUGGGGGAAAGUGUAUUUUGCUGGAGAGCAGGAAAACCAAAAGGUGGGGUGUUUGGUGCAGAAUUCAGUUUCCUAUAAAUCUCAUAUUUCAUUUUUUUAAAAAAACCUUAUGGUGGAUUAGAAUAAAUCUACUCUGGAUCAUGUGUGCUGUGGUACUGAAAUUGUAGUGCUGUUGCCAUGUUGUUUUUAUGCUUUGUUUCACUGUUUAAAUAUUAUUUUAACUGACUGGUUUUACUGAUUGCAUUAGAAACUGUUUGUAGAGGAAUAUAUAAACAUGGAAAGCAAAUAAAUAAAGAAGGCUGAUUGCAGAACAAUUGAUGCUUUUGAAUUAUGGUGCUGGAGGAGACUCUUGAGAGUCCCAUGGACUGCAAGAAGAUCAAACCUAUCCAUUCUUAAGGAAAUCAGCCCUGAGUGCUCACUGGAAGGACAGAUCCUGAAGCUGAGGCUCCAAUACUUUGGCCACCUCAUGAGAAGGGCAGAUCCUGAUGUUGGGAGAAGGGGACAACAGAGGACGAGAUGGUUGGAUAGUGUUCUCGAAGCUACCAGCAUGAGUUUGACCAAACUGCGGGAGGCAGUGGAAGACAGAAAUGCCUGGCGUGCUCUGGUCCAUGGGGUCACAAGGGUCAGACACGACUAAACAACUAAACAACAACAACAACUUUUAGCCCUCAUGGUUGCAGAUAUAUACUUGGAAAAGUGUGUGAAACACUUGCUGCAAUUUUUGGAAAUAAAAAAAUUGACAGUAUAAUAUUUCCAAAAUAACAUUUAAAUUCCAGUUUAAUUACCAGUUGGAUAAAGAAAAAACUGGUCCCUGCAGCUCAGGCCUAGUCAAGUUUGUUACAGCUCAAUGUAAUGCUGUCCGUUUUGGUGUCAACAGCCACUGCAGUGCUUGAAUUACAGGGUCAGGGGCUUACAUUUUGCAAUAGUCCCUGUACCUACUGUUUCUAGAAAGCUAUGGAGGACAUGAUUUGGCCAAAACUGGAGAAGAUAUCUAUGGAUUAAGGCUUGUGGAUUUCAUUAAGUGUUCCCCUACCUAACUCCCCCUUGACUGCAUUUAAGGGCAUCAGCAUGGGGAAGAAUAUGGGAAAUUGUGGGCUCCAGAAAAUGGGAUUCCUGGGCUGACACAAGGCUGGGUUUCAGUCACAGAUCAUAUUUUCCCUUUUCUCCUGUCUAUGUCAUAAAGGAGGAGCCAAUGGACUGCAAGACACGUGCAUCAGUUGUACAGACUUCAUGCAUAACCCACUCCUGAUUCAUCAGCUCAUACUGCCGAAGAUGCAAGCCUCUGUUGAGUUGAAAGAGCACCUUGCUGCUGCUGCUUCUAUCAAAAUUACUAUGGAGAGUACUUCAAGGAAAGUGCCACUUGUCAGUAGCUUUGGAGCAAUAAAAUCCAUAUAAACCACAAUCAAUUUAGGGAGAAUUCACUGACAGGUUCAUAGAGCAUUGGUCUAUCAAUGGCUAUUCAUCAUAAUAGCUUAAGAAUGCAUCCUCCAAGUUCACAGGCACCAUCAGAUGCAGGAAAUAAUCACUGGUGGGAGGUCUCCUCUCCAGCCUCUCUUGCUUUUGUGAGCUUCUAGAAGGGAUCCUGUCUUUGCUUCCAUUUUUCCAUACAUCCCCAUUGGCAAGUACUGGAGCUGAAGGAUCUUUGAUAUGAUCCAGUAAGUUGCUUUCAAUUUCCGCCACCCAGGGAGACUCGCCUGGUGCCUUUGUUACGUAUCUUUAGGUGGC